rnacentral:lncRNA from 1 species
UUUUUUUUUGUCAAGGUCAGGAACAUAUAGACUAAGCAAAAGAAAUGGGUGAGGGUGGUGGUUACUGAAUUGACCCAACGGGUGAAAAGAAAGGUAACUUUCAAAAGUAGCUUUCUUUUUCUUGUCUAUGUUUCUCUCACUCUCUCAUGUCCUUCUUAUAUUCACACCACUCUUUNNNNNNNNNNNNNNNNNNNNNNNNNNNNNNNNNNNNNNNNNNNNNNNNNNNNNNNNNCUCUUUCCUUCCAAAUCCUCACUUAAAUCUUCUGCAAAAGAACAAAAAAAAAACUUGGCUAAGCUUCUUUGUCGCCAUUGACAAACAAUGUCUGAAUUUGCCUUGUCAUCAUCUCCAGAAGAGAAUCAAAACAUGAAGAUUAUUGGUUUUUCUUCACUACUUCUCUCUGACUUUCAACUCUUUUGUUCUUUUAUAAUCUCUCACCCUUUCUAUUUUUCUUACGUACUCUUCUUCUCACCUUACUUGUUCAAGAUUCUAUCUUUUCUCUCACCACUCUUCGUCACCACCACACUUUUGCUUCUCGCUUUACUCAGUACUCUGCAUCUUCACGACACUUUUCCCGACUCUGAAUCACUCGAAACCCAACCAGGCUUCCUCGUUUCCUUUUGUAGUAAGCUCGGUAGUGUCUUGGAACCCAAGUUUGAUGUCAACAAUGAGGAUGUUAACGAACUGGAAGCGUAUAAGAUGGUCGUUGAGGCUUGCUCGAUGGAAUGUGCGUCCGAGGAUGAGAGUAUGGAGGUAACCUUUGUUGACAAAUUCUGUAGCCAUGAAGUCAGCAUCACCGUGUCGAAAUCUCUGACCGAUGAGAAACAAGUUGAGAUCCAACCGCUGAAGUUGGAGAAUCAGAUGGACUUGGAGAAAGAAGAGAAGUGUGAAGAGGAACUCGUAGAAGAACAGAAAGUCAAGCUAGAAACUGACGUUGUCAUCGAUAACGGAGAAGGGCAGUUUUGGAAAGAACCGACAAAAGAAGAAUCCAAGGCUCAAAAAGUAGAUCUUGUCGGAGAUUGUAAUGAUCUCCCAAGACUGAGCGACUUUCUCGGAGAAGAGAAGAAAAACAAAGUGAAUGAUCAGAAAGAAGAAGAAGAAGAUGUUUCUCUUAAGAGCUUUGGGUCAAUGAGGAAAGAGAAAGAGUGGAGGAGAACAUUGGCAUGCAAGCUGUUCGAGGAACGACACAACGCUGACGUAGGACAAGGGAUGGAUCAGCUUUGGGAGACUUACGAGACCGAAACAGAGAAGAAGCAAACCGAAGGAGAGAAGAAGAAGGAGAAGAAGAUGAAGACCAAGAAGUCGAUGACGAUGAUGAAGACGAAGAGUAUAGAGAAGAAGGAAGUAGCAGUGGAAGAGGAAGACGAUGAUGAUGUGAUUGAUCAGCAGCAACUGUGCUGCUUACAGGCACUGAAGUUCUCAACAGGGAAGAUGCAUUUGGGAAUUGCGAGGCCUAACCUUGUGAAGCUAUCUAAGGCUUUCAAAGGAUUGGGAAGGUUUUACAAUGCCAACAAGCAUCCCAAGAAAGGAUGAAGGACCAAGUUACAAACUUUGUAUUAAUGUUGACCUUUAUAUUAUAAGUAGUCCGAGAUAGUUGUGCUUUUGUAGUUUCCAUAGUUUUUGGCAAGCAUGUAAUUUGUAUGCAUAAGUUUCUUCAUCUCAUUUCUGAGUCUUAGCACAUUAUUAAUUUGUUACACGGAUAAAAGACUCAGACGAUGGAAGGAUCAUGGAUCCAUGUUAUCUCAAAUCUUCGUAUUUUUAUAUUUUAUAUUUCUACAGAGGUUUUGUACGAAAAAAAUUUAAAUGGAAUAGUAGAUUAAUUAAUAGUUUACAUUUUGGUCUUUUUCUCUCGUAUAUAAAUACUCUUUAAACAAUUCAGUCCAUUCAUCCAUACAAACUUCAGAUAAGUUAUGACCAGUUUUGAUAAUCAUCAUCCUAGCUGUCAAUAACAAUUUAGAAAGAUUUUCUCCACAACUUUCAUAAAUUGGCUGAUUAGCUGCGUCUAGCAUUUUAUAGAACUUUUUCACAUCAAAGUUAGGUUCUUCUACAUUUUCUACUCAUGCAGUAACUACUGAGGUUGUUUCACGAAAUGCAUUUGUAACCAUGUCAUGCAACCUAUCAUGAUCUACAAUAUGAUCCUCGUGAGGGUGAUUACUUUCAAGAUGCAAAUGAUCACUCGGUUCUUCCCUAUUACAUUUCUACUAUCACCCUCUCCAUGAUGAAACCAAAUGUAGUAAUGUGAAGAUAAAUCCUCUAUUUACUAUAUGUUUCUAAACCGUUUCACUGCGAGCAAACUUGGUAUUUUUGCACUUAAGACAUAGACAUAACAUUUUACCCGUUUCAUGCGUGAGAGGUGUGUUUCCAGCCUGGUACAUAAAUAUCUCUGCCCCGUUGAGAAAUUCGUUUCUCACAAUUCCCGCAAAAUCUUUAUGUGCAUACACCCAACUCCGGACCUCAUAGAUAUUGCCACCACUAGAUAUUUUUUUGAAUUUUUUGUGUGUGUGUUUAUGCAUCUUUAGAAUGGGAGAGGAGUGCAUAUUUAUAGGAAAUUUUUGAAUUUGGUAAGUGGGAAUGUUACAACGAAUUUACUACAUCAUAUAAUUUACUUUAACUUAACAACUAUAUUGCCACCAUUUUCACCAACCAUACAUACAAACGUUUAUCACAUGUACAACAACAACCUUCUGUUUUACUCGUAAUGUAGUAGUCAAUUAGAUCCUAACUUGUUGAUGUAAUUUAGUCGUAAAUCGUAAUGUAACAACUACUUUAAGACGACAUUUAAAAAUCAUUGCAAAUCGUCGUAAAUUUGUCGUAACCUUACGACAAAAUGUUGUUGUAUGUUGAUUUUUUAUAUGGACGUAAUGGCAACGUAAAUUUGUCGUAAAAUUACGUCCAUACUUUUUUAGUCGUAAUGUGUAGUCGUUUUUGGCGCAUUUUCUUGUAGUGCGCUAUUUUGCGGUUUUUCAAAAACUCGAUUUCCAGUUUGGCGAGAAACCCUAAUUUUAUGGUUUUGGCAUAAAAUGUUAUUUUAUCGUUUUGAUAGAUAAAUGUGACUUAAUGGUUGUUUUCCGAUUUUUGAGAAAAAACAUGUCUCCAUCCAACCUUACGAUUUGUGGUUGAAUCUUCUUUACCCCAGAAGAUCUGAUGCAUCAUCAUCCUAGAGGCUCCAACGAGUACUUUCCAUAUUUGAGCUAUUUCUUUAUCUACUUAUUUUCUUAUUGUUUGUGUUUAGUGUUACUCAGUGCUUUUAAAACCGGACCGAUCCGGUGGUUGAACCGGGUUCGACCAUGAACUAGUUGAAUAGCCGGAUUGGGUCUAAUAAUUAGUUCGAUCAUGAACCGAUCACGUAGUCGCAUUAGAUUUUAGAGUUAUUAAACUAACAAAAAUCAUUAAACUAUCAAAAAUCUUUAAACCAUCCAUAUAAACAUUAAACUAGUUUUAUAAUGUUUUAUGUUUUAAAUUCAUUUAUAUUUUUAAUUAAGUAUCAUAUUUACUGACAUUACUUUUAAAUUUAUACACUAAAAAAAUAUUAAUCCAGGUUUGACCCUACAAACCAUAUUGAACCAUGACCCAAAAGUUAUUCAGUUCAACUUCCGUCCCAGUUUUAAAAAUACUAGUUUUAUUGUAAAGAUUAGGAUUUCUAAAAGUUCUAUAUAUAUAUUUUUACUUUUAGGUUUGUAAGAAAGACUUUAAGAAUUAAUAAACUCAUUUUUGCGUUUUUGAGAGAAAUUUGAUUUGCUUCAUUUUUUUGGAAAAAAACUUGAAUAAGAUUCAAUUAAAUUCAUCUUUUUUCAAGUUGUAGUAAUUUAUCUGAAAUCUUUAAAUUAAGUUGAAUUUUUGUUCUUAUCCGCCACCACUUGCUAAACUCACCUCUACACAUACUAUAAGAUCGUAACUUAUGCACUAUUACAUUUUUAUUUUUAUACUUUCAUUUCUCUAUUAUCUAUUUUUAUAUUUCCAUGAAAAAUAUUUUGAGAGUAAUUUUUAAUAAAUUUUAUUUUAUAAAAUCAUAUGAAAAUACUUUUACACUGACAAUAACUAUAUGAUAUUUUUUACUUUUCAAUUUCUAAAUUUUUAAUAUGUUUUACUUUUAUAUCUAUGUUGUAUCUUUAUUUACAAAAAAAAAGAAAAUAGUUUUAUGGUUUCUAGCCCUUGUUUUUGAUUAUAUCCCGUAUCCAUCUCCACUCGUUUUCGAUCUUCACACAAUUAAGUUUUUUUUUCUUUUAUUUGAAUUAAAUAGAGUAUUCUUGUCCCACAUAACUGAUCCAGACUAAUCAUGUAUUACCAUGUGUCGAUUUCAUGUUCUUGACGAUACCGAAAUAUUAAUUUUUCAGUGGCCAGAAUUCGAAUUCUACUGAUUUUACCACAUUGGGCUUUUGCUUUCAAGUUAGUCACCAUCAGACCAUAAAUUCCGGUUCACACUUUAGUUCAAAAAACAAUUACAUUAACAUUAAAAUAAUUGCUUAAAUAGAUUGUUUUUAUGAAAAGUAAUCUUUUUUUUUGAGCAACCUAUGAAAAGUCUAAUCAAAGUUUAGAUCUGGUAUGAAAACACUUACAGUGUGAAUGAAUAUAGAAGUCCAUAUCUAAAACUAUUUUUGAUCUGACUGUCAUACUUCAAUUAAGAUUUUAAAAAGUUAAAAAAAAAAUGGUUACCGACAUUUUGUUUUUACUUAAGACAAUCUCUUUUUUUUUUUUUUUUUUUUUUUUUUUUAAAAAAAUUUUUUUUUUUUUUUUUUUUUUUUUUUUUCUGAAACACGCUUAAGACAAUCAUUUCAGAUGUUCAGAGAGACUCCAUUAAUAGCAGCUAUAACUGAAUGAAACUCCACUGACCCUGCAAAAAUGGCUACUCACCACCGACUUUUACGCGGCGGCGGAUCUCCGGCGAUUAGCGUCUCCGGCAUCAGAUUCAGACUCACAGCUUUGGCUGCCACUAUCGCACUUUCCUUCUUCACUCUCUCGUUUCUCUUCACUUCCGAGUCUAAUCACUCACCUGAUCUCCAUCUUCCCGUAAGUUCUCAAUCCCUGAAUCUCAUCAGACACUCGAAUGGAGUCGGAUCCAUCAGAAGAUCCAUAUUGGAUAUCAAAUCGGAUCCGCUGAAGCCACGCCUCCUCCAGAUCCGGAAACAAGCUGACGACCACCGGUCGUUAGCGCUAGCCUACGCCUCUUACGCUCGGAAGCUCAAGCUCGAGAAUUCGAAACUCGUGAGGAACUUCGCGGAUCUCUCAAGAAACUACACGGAUCUCAUCAGCAAACCAACGUACCGAGCUCUCUACGAUUCCGACGGAUCUUCGAUCGAAGAAUCCACGCUUCGACAGUUCGAGAAAGAAGUUAAAGAGCGGAUCAAAAUGACUCGCCAAGUGAUCGCUGAAGCCAAAGAGUCUUUCGAUAACCAGCUCAAGAUCCAGAAGCUCAAAGACACGAUCUUCGCCGUUAACGAACAGUUAACGAGUGCUAAGAAGCAAGGAGCGUUCUCGAGCUUGAUCGCUGCGAAAUCGAUUCCGAAGGGGUUGCAUUGUCUUGCGAUGAGGUUGAUGGAAGAGAGGAUCGCUCAUCCAGAGAAGUACACUGAUGAAGGGAAAGCGAGAGCAGCUGAGCUCGAGGAUCCGAGUCUUUACCAUUACGCUAUCUUUUCGGAUAACGUGAUUGCAGCUUCGGUGGUGGUGAACUCCGCUGUGAAGAAUGCUAAGGAGCCGUGGAAGCAUGUCUUCCACGUUGUGACGGAUAAGAUGAAUCUCGGGGCGAUGCAGGUUAUGUUUAAGCUUAAGGAGUAUAAAGGAGCUCAUGUAGAAGUGAAAGCUGUCGAGGACUAUACUUUUUUGAACUCUUCGUAUGUGCCUGUCUUGAAGCAGCUUGAGUCUGCGAAUCUGCAGAAGUUCUAUUUCGAGAAUAAGCUUGAGAAUGCGACUAAGGAUACGACUAAUAUGAAGUUUAGGAACCCGAAGUAUUUGUCUAUAUUGAAUCACUUGAGAUUCUAUUUGCCUGAGAUGUACCCGAAGCUGCAUAGGAUACUGUUUUUGGACGAUGAUGUGGUUGUGCAGAAGGAUUUGACGGGGCUUUGGGAGAUUGAUAUGGAUGGGAAAGUGAAUGGAGCUGUAGAGACUUGUUUUGGUUCGUUCCAUCGGUAUGCUCAGUACAUGAACUUCUCUCAUCCUUUGAUCAAGGAGAAGUUUAAUCCGAAAGCAUGCGCGUGGGCUUAUGGAAUGAACUUCUUUGAUCUUGAUGCUUGGAGAAGAGAGAAGUGCACAGAAGAAUAUCACUACUGGCAAAAUCUGGUAACCUUUUGUGAUAUUUUUUUACAACAGUGUGUUUCGUUGUGUUAUUGUGUUUUGACUUUUGUUGUGUGUUUGUCUGAACUGCAGAAUGAGAACAGGACUUUAUGGAAACUGGGAACGUUGCCACCGGGGCUGAUCACGUUUUACUCGACCACAAAGCCGCUGGACAAAACAUGGCAUGUGCUUGGGCUGGGUUACAAUCCGAGUAUUAGUAUGGAGGAGAUCCGUAACGCUGCAGUGGUACACUUCAACGGUAAUAUGAAACCAUGGCUAGAUAUUGCUAUGAACCAGUUCAGACCGCUUUGGACCAAGCACGUCGACCACGACUUGGAGUUUGUUCAGGCUUGCAAUUUCGGGCUCUGAACUAUGAAUUAUUUUCUUUAUCAACAGAAUCUUAUAUCAAAUGUUGUUACUUCAGCUAUGUGAGGUUUUAACAUGUGUUAUUUAUAUAUUUUUUGGGAAUUAGAAUAAUGUAUUUUGUUCAUAGCUGCCGUAAUUCUAAAUAUAUUAUGGGGUACUACUACUACUACAUUAUGCAAUUUUAUCCCCUUUGGAUUUGAAUUGCGAGAAUAAUCACUGCCUAGCUAAUUCAGGAGUUAAGAGAAAAGCAAUGCUUUGUAAAACAGAAAAGAACCCGGCAUCGUCUGAUUUUUUUGUGAAUCUUAGUUUUGAUAUCAAACUAUGUUACUGGUACUGGUGGUUUUGGUCAGGUUUUACCGGUUCAAAACUCAAAAUGGUUAAGAGAAUUUUUAAACGUUGCUAGACGAACAAGUGGAGAAGUGCCGAAACUUUAUCUGCCACUUAGAAUUUGUAACUCCAAUUAACAAAACGGGGGAUGCAGAGAAAAGAGAAUAAUAGCUAUUUUUAGUGGUAGCUCUAAGCCUAUACUCUCUAAAACAAUUCGAGCCUCUUUCUUUUCAUUUUUCUGGCUAGAAACACAAAUUUAGGCAGUGAUAGACACGGGAGGAGCAUCCACAGGUUGUGUAGCUCCGUUAGCAUCGAUUCCGCCACCAGCACCACGUCUUACACGUCUCGGAAACCCACCACCGUCACCAUUUGCUCUGUUUGCAUAUCCUCCUCUAUUGUUUCCCCUGUUGUUGCCAUAUCCGUUGAAAUCGUUCCUGCCAUAACCUCCUCCUCUUCCACCUCUAAAGCUCCCACGACCCCUUCCACCUUCGUUUCUGUAGCCUGUGCCUACACCAAACGCUGCGCGUCCUCUAUGAUUCCCUGUUUCAACAACGAAUGAUGAAUUAGAUCUGUUAGGUUCAUGAGAGUUUCAUUCCUCUUUUUAAGUGUUGAAAGCCAAACUUGCCUCUUGCCGUCGAUCGUUUUUCCUCGAUAACUACUUUCUGCCCACUGAGUAUGAUAGGUGAUGCCUAUAAAGCCCCAAAGUAUACAUAUCAGUAACAGUUGAGCAGAGUCUAAAGAAUAUUACUAGUAACACCAUUUGUUAUUACCUCGAUUGCGCUUUGCAUGGAACUCGCGGAUUCAAACUCAACAAAGCCAAAACAGAAUCCCUGUAAAGCACAAACUCAAAAGGGUGCAGAUCAAUAAUUAAUAUAUCUGUUAAGCAAUACUUAAGGUGGGAGUCUUCCUACCUUCUGGCUUCUUACUUGAAUCCCGUUGGUCCUAAUAGGUCCAAACUUCUGGAACUCAUUCUCGAGCAAGGCUGGUGUUGCAUCAAGCGGCAAUCCCUUAAGAUAGAUGGAUGGACCUGGGGCUGUUACGGAAUCAAGAAAGAUUGAAGCUAAGCAUGUUUACCGUUAAGAGAACAAGGAAUAACAUGAGGCAAAAGCAAAUGAAUUUACCUCUUUCAUUGUCUUGAUCGUUCCCAUUUACCGCUACAUUUGCUCUUGAAUCUGAUUUCUCAGACAACGGUGUUGGUAGAGGGACAUGAGUGGCUUGAUCUUCUUGUCUUUUUGGUUCCACCACCUUAGUUGGAGUUCUAGAAGCAGACAUAGGUGCAGCAUUCUCUUUCAUAACCAUCACCUACAUAUUAUAAUUACAUACACCAAUGAAAUGGCGUUAAAUCUUGAGGGCAGAGUAGCCCAAAAUCUCACAGCAGCUUGAUAAAGAGGAGAUACUACACAACCCAAAUGUAAGUUACUUACAAUGGAUGCAUAAGAUCUCUUUGGAACUUCGCCAGCCCUAGAAGAAUCAGACUCUCCAACCUUGUGCACAUCAUGUGGAGCUUCAUGAACUAUUCCAGGCGCAGGAGCGUCUUCUGCCACUGAUACCUGUUCCUCUUCAGUGGGAGUGAACACUUCAGGAACAUUAAUGCUCUUCGACUGCUCAACAGCAUGAUUCUCUUGAACAUAUUUCUCCUGAACAAAGUCUUCUGGAAUGUCUUGAGCAGCAUGUGGAUCUAAGGCACAAAAAGAUUUAAGAUAUAAAGAAACUUGAAGGACGCAUACACAAGUGGGUGGCUAGGUGCAACUUACCCUGGUGAACGUUGACAGGAACUUGGAUGUUAUUCACAGGAAUCUGAGUGCCACGCACGGUUGUAGCGUCAUCAAUGUAUCGGAACAUAUCAUUCAAGACAAAGUACCCAGUCUCCUGUCGGGCAAGGAAGAAGGUCUGAGUAAACGUCCUCCUGACACCAUCUGUCCCCGUCAGAUACCCAGUCACCAGUAGGAGAAAACCACCGCCGUAAGACUCUUGCGUGUCCACAGUAGCAAUCUCGGCACUGAGUACACCAGAUCCAAGUGCCAGUAUCUUCUUGUCAAUAGCCUGCUCACUCACAUACAUACACACUCGUAUUCAGCAACACCUUCCCACAGAAUGCAAAAGUAAGUUAGUAGACGACUCACUUGCAAGGUGGAAGUAAUGCUCAUUGUACCAUUAUCUUCAGGGCGGCCUAGCUUGCUAAUCUCUUGGUAAAACCGGUGGACAUGCUGAGGGGAUUGAUGCAAAAUGUGAUAAUACUGAUGCACAAAUGUAUUCCCAACCUGUAAACACGAAAACUUGAAUUAAAAAAAAAAAAAAACCAACAUCGCCAUAUAAGAAAAAAGAAAAGUGGAUGAUGACAUACAAUAUCUGGAGUACAAGGUGGUGUUUGAGCUAACAUCGCCAUAGCUUUACUUUCCUCCUGGAAACAAACAAAAUCCAUCAGCAACAGUAAUAGGAUUAGAUCGCAUCUUCUGAGUGAGAUCUGAUCUAGAGAAUCAAAUUCAACUAGCUUUUAUCCUAAUCCCUCACUCGUCGUUAUACCAUUGCUCGAGCAGAUUUCCGAGAAAGAAAUUGUGAGUUUACUUACCUGAAGAAAAACGACGAUUAACCAGAAAAUCGAGAGAGGAUCCUCUUGUUCUCUCGCUAAGCUGUGGCGCUGGUUAGGGUUUUAGAGCCGAAUCUCGAAUACAAGCCAGCGAGAGCGACCUGAGAGCACAAAAAUGCUAAAUGUACGCCUCAGAUGUUUACUGCCUUCCUUUUUACUGGUAUAAAAGAAUUGAGUUAAUGUACCAACAAAAUUGCACUUACAUGUAUGUAUAUGCUAUUUAUAAUAUAGAUGGUAUCUAAUUUAAUUAAAUUUCAAAAAUAGUAUUUCCUAAAAUAUAAAAUGAAAAACGGAGAAAUGUUAUUUCACCUAUAUAAAAAAGAAGAAGAUAAGUUGGAGUGUUUCAAAAAAAAAAAAAAAAAGUUGGAGUGCUCUUAGACUGACAAGAUAAGUAAGAUUUAGAAUGGAUUUUGUGCUUUCAUUCACUUCCAACCGGCCAGUUUAGAACAAAUUUGGUUGAAACCAAUGACCUACAAAAAAAACAAGCCAAUGAGCUUUUGGAGAAGGUGCACUUCCGAGAAAGCAUUAACCCUUGUGCUAGCUACUACACCAGUCAUACUUGUGCGCUGGUAGUUGGCGAAUCUGUGUGGAUUGUAGAGCAAUUAAUAGUAUCACAAUGAAGUAUUGCCACUCUAUACUCCAUUUAGUUGAUAUGCUAGAUGAGUUAUAUGAUUCAUUUAUUUUUUCUAAUAUAGAUUUGAAAACUAGUUAUUUAAUAGAUUACCAUGAAAGAAGAUGAUGAGAGAAAAACUGUUUCAAAACUAAACAUGGAUUAUAAGAAUGGCUAGUGAUGUCUUUUGGGCUUAACUAAUGCACGCUAGUGAGACAGAUGAAUUAUGUCAGAAGGGCUUAUAUAAGAUUGUUCGUAGUAAUUUACUUUGAUGGUAUAUUGAUAUAUAGUCAAACCAUGAAUGAACAGUAUGACAUCUAAGAAGGGUUAUAGACGUGAUUAGUAAAUAAACCUGCAAACUAUAAAAUGUCUUCUUUCUGGUACAUAUAACCUUCCUUUCUAGGUUUUGUUAUGAUCUCACACCGCAUACAGGUGGACGAAGAGAUGGUACAAGCCAUAAGAGAAUGGCUGGUCCUUAAAACCUUGAGUGAAGUAAGAAGUUUCCACGGCCUAGCUGGUUUCUAUACACAGUUUGUGAAGCACUUCAGUUCCAUAGUUCCCGCUCAUUGAGAUAAUAAAGAAAAGUGUUGGAUUUAAUUGGAAACAAGAACAAGAGGAUGCAUUUCAAGCAUUCAAAGAAAGGUUGUCCAUCUCUCCAUUGCUUAUUUUACCCAACUUUCUAAAAACAUUUGAAAUAGAAUGUGAUACAAUGAGGUCGGAAUUGGUGACGUGCUGAUGCAAGAGAAGAGGCCCAUAGACAGUGCGAAACUUGGAGGAGCUAAGCUGAACUAUCCAACUUAUGAUAAAGAAACAUGGUGAGAGCUCUCCAAACAUUGCAGUAUUACCUAUGGCCAAAGAAGUUUGUAUCCACACAGGUCAUGAGUCUCUCAAGCACUUGAAAGGAAAACAAAACUGAAUAAAAGGCAUACCAAAUGGAUUGAGUUUAUUGAGACAUAUUCCUAUGUCAUUAGGUACACACAAAGUAAAGAGAAUGUUGUUGAUGAUAAGUUCUGGAGAAGGUAAACUUUACUUUCAUCUAUAGAAGCAAAACACUUAGGAGUUGAGCAGAUCUGAGUACACUAUGACCAUGACCCUAAAUUCCAUGACAAGUAGUCAAGUACCAUGCAACUAGAAAGCAAGCAUAUGAUAAGUUCUAUCAAGUAGAUGGUUUUUUUCUUCAUGACAACCGUUGACGUGUGCCUGCUUGUUCUUUAACGGUAUAUGUUAGGGAAGUACAUGGAGGUGGCAUUAUGGGACACUCUGGUGUGGCCAACACAUUGAGUUCCUCACAGCGACACAUCUACUGUCCAAGGAUGAUGUUGGAUGUUGAGAGAUUGCAUGGACAAUGUGUGGUUUUCAAGCAAGCUAAAUCCAAAGCCAAUUUCACAGUUUGUAUACUCAUUUACAUAUUCCUAUUACACCAUGGAUUGAUAUUUCCAUAGAUUUUGUUAUAGGAUUUCGUAGAAAUAUGAUGGUUCGAGAUAGUAUUUUGUAGUUGUGGGCAUGUUUUCUAAGAUGGCUUCAAUUAUAGUUUUCCAAAAGAUCGAUGAUUCUACUGUAGUAGUGAUUUUAUUCUUUAGAGAGGUUGUUAGGUGCAUGGAUUGCAUAAGACAAAAGUUUCAGAUAGGGAUGUUAAGUUUCUUAGUCACUUUUGGAAAACUUUGUGGGAGAAAGUGAUAUACGAUGGAUUUUAUCACAUUUAGACCAUGACAUAUGAUUUUUUUUAGAGUAUAAUCAAUGGGUUUGGAGUAUGUUUUAGAGUAUUUUCAGGUUCAUGUACGUUUUAAAGAACUUUGGUGAUUUUAGAGUCUUUUGAGGUGCAUAACUGCACUGAUGCGUCAGAAGUUUAUAUAUAGAUGGAGACCUUCUCAUAAUGUGAUUUAGCCCAUAUUCUGAUACAAGAUAGAGAUUUAAGUUAACUUUCCAAUUUCACCGGUUAGAUCUAAAGUUAUGCCCGAUUUACUGAAGAGUGGUAUAUCUGCCUCGCGAGAGGAAGCUGUCGAGGAGAUGAAGGAGUGUGGAUCGACGACAGACCUCGAUCGACACUGAUGCCAGAAAAAGAGCUGAGUCUAUUUCAUUACCGACUUAAGCCCAGAAGUCACCAACAAAUUACCGAAAUGCCCCUUGCAGACUAAAACCCCUAUUUAUGUGUUUUUUAAGCCAUUGUUGACGGCUACGCUUUCUAUGCUUUAUUCUAUUCUUUGUUCUUAGUUUUAGGUUAGGAGAGAAGAGAGGAAAUCCUUCAGAUUCCUCUUGGAAAUCCAUUGGUUUGGUUUUAUUUAUUUUAUAUAUAUUCAUCUAUUUAUUUAUGAUUUCUGUGACAAACGCCAUGUUUGAAUAGAUCCACCUGUUAGAUCUAGGUUUCCUAGGGUUUUUAUGUUCCGAUGAAAUAUAGAAUUUAUAGGGUGAUUAAUUAGAUCUUUCACAUAAUUGGAAUUAUUGCUUGUGUUCUAGAGUAGCUAACUAGAACUAUGAUCAUAGGAUAGUUAAGCGCACACGACAACAUAGUCUAUUACCUGAAUUAAAUUCUGCUGGGGUAGGAUUGCUAGAAACAUGCGACGGUUGAUCUAGUGAAACUAGUGACUCAGUCGAUCAGAUCGGUAACAUUUGCCUAAGGAAGUGUUGAUAGACACUCAUUCAAUAAUAUUGAUCGACACUCGAUCCAUGUUGACAGACAGCUGAAACACUGGACUUAGUCAAUAAAUUAGACUCACAACAAGAUCUGGCUAUCUUUUGCAUUAGAGAUCGAGUUCUAGGAUCAACCCUUAGCAUCUAUAGAUUGAGUUCCGAUAACCUGAAUGAAAACAUAAGUCUAGCACCCAUCUUUCCAUCAAACAACAAACUUCUCCAUUUACUCUAUUGCUUAUUUAGUGCUCUAUAUUAUCUGACCUAGCUUGAUUUGAAACUCAAGUCUAUUGUGUAAGAUAUCGGGUCUCUGUGGAUACAAUUAUUAAGUAAUACAAUCGAUCUCUUAUUUGAGAGAGUUGCUAUUGGGGUAAUUUGAGCACAUCAUAUUUGGUGCCGUUGCAUUGGACUCUGAUCACCAUUAGACUAGGUGUAGGAUUUUGUCUAAGUUUUUUAUUUUUAGUUUACUUGCAUAAAAUUUGUUCUUGUGUUUUAGGUACAUACAUCUUAGUACCAGGAAGCAAUGAGAAGAGGCUUUGUGGGUUCUUCAAAGAAGGAGCCUAUUGAUUCAUGCACAAUCCAUAAGUCUAAGAGAGCAGUCAACACCCUCCAAGCAGCGAUCGAUAGAAAAGAGAAUCAAGUAUCAACCAACACCUACACCUCGUUGUCGUUUGACACCAACACCUCAUUGUCAAUCGACACUAACACCUCGUUGUCGAUCGACACCACUUGCACAGAGACAGAGAUGGUUGAGGUACUCAUACUGACUAUUGAUGAGAAUGGGGUCUUCCGAGAUAAAGAAGGCCGUGCUCGCAACAAUGCAGGACAACAUAUUUAUACAUAAGGGCUUUAGUCACUAAUGCUAUUACUGUUGCUGAGAAGGACAACUUUAAGCUGAAACCUAUAUAUAUCACUAUUAUGGGUCAGUGUUCUUUUCAUGGAUUCCUCAUGAGCAACCAAUGGCUUAUAUCAUCAUGUUUGAGGAAUUGGUAUCAUUUAUCUUCAAUGGAGUCUCUGAAGGCCACCACUUCUGCAAACUCUUCCCAUCUUCUCUUGCUGGAAACGAAGUCCGAUGGUUCAAGAAGUUUCCACCAGGAUCUCUCACUGCCUGGAAUGACAUCACAAACGCCUUUCUCAACAUCAUUCUCUAUAAUGUUGCAUCAAAUCUAGAGAUAAAGAUGAAGUUUAUGCUGAGUUAUCAGAUUAUCGACCCUAUUUUCUUUUUGAUAAUCCAGAUAAUCCGGACACCCUGGAGGGAACCCGACUAGCGCCUAAGUACACCUUCGCAGAAGGCAUCCUGGAGGGCCGCCUUUUUCACCCCAUUUUAAUCGACGGUGGCUAGGUCAGUCGCUUGGUUAUUGCCGACCCUAUUAUAGCAGAGAGAGAUGAACAAUGUGGAUAUGGAGAGCCGAGCAUAGUAGAUGAAUCUGGCACUGGUGAUCCGACCUUAGCAUCGAUCAACACCACGACCUCAGCAUCGAUCGACACAGACUCCUAUUGUCGAUCGACACCUCUUGAAAUCCUUGAAAGAUCGAGUUGUACUCACGACAUUGCAGACUCGUCACUGAAGAGAACCGAUGUAUCAAGUUGUUAUCUUUCUCUAGAUGGAGACAAAGAAAUCACUAUAGAGGAUUUCUUGGAGGUAGAGAAAAGCUUGAAUAUUUGGAUUUUUGAUAGGGAUGUCAAUAUGUAAGAUUUUUUGGAGCUGGAAGAAUGGCUUGACUCAGAGGAGAAGCUUGAUGACGAUCGGCACACUACAAGAAAAGUUCUAGAAAAAUUCGUCAAAGGCUAGCAUCGAUCGACACCACACGCCUGAUAUGAUGUUUUCACAUAUUAGCACUUUUUCUUUCUUGACCUUCAAAAAUUUCCUCAACAUUAUAUAAUAAAGAAAACACCAAAUUAUAUAUAGUAAAAACUCUAUAAAAUAAUAAUAUUGAGAUUAUGCUAUUUUAUUAAUUUAUAAAAAAAUAUUUUGAUUUUUUUCUAUUUUGAAUAUUUUCAUUUAUAGAAUAAGAAUUUUUUUUAUUUUAUCGUAUAUACAUUAAUUAAAUUUGAGAAAUUUGACUUUCAUAUUGUUUUAUUAUAUUAUUGGGAAGUUUACUAGAAUGUUACAUAUUUUAGGUGUAUUGACUAGAAUGAUACAGAUCUUUUUUUUAUUACUAGAAUAUUUUCGAUACCAAGCGUACCCUUUUUUUACGUUAUGAGAAAAAACGUAUUUACGAGAAUGCCAUUACUUUUCGCUGCCACGUAGGCAAAAAACCGGCGCCACGGAGGAAUUCGCGUCCGUAUUUUCAUUAAGUCAGCUGUUAAGCGAUAGAUUUGUAGUUACGGCCGAUUUAUCUUUACGUUACGGCUGACUUAAUACAUACGACUGACUUAAGUGAAAGUGGCUGACUUAAAACUAUAAGUCAGCUUGCCAAUACAACUGAUUUACAGAAAUCCGGCUGAGUUAUGUGACCACGGCUGACUUAAUGAUACAAAUGACGGCUGACUUAUACAUUGGCGGUUUGAUUUCUGGAAAAUUUGGCUGAGUCGUGGUUAAGAAACGGCUGAGAAACUUUUUUUCAGCUGAGUAAAGGAACAUGGAUGGGCUGGGUUAUUGAAGCCACGGCUGAGUUAUGGGAUGCUGUUACGACUGGGUUUGUAUUAGUCAGCCGUUAAAGCAUGGAUAAACAGUAAACUCAGCUGCUUUGCGGCUGACGUAUGAGCGAAAGAUUAAUUACUAGAAUGUUCUCGUUUGAUGGCUGAUUUACGUAACGAUACGGCUGACAUAUGGUUGUUCAUCCUUAUUGCGGCUGACUUACUGUCAAAAUAUUAAUUACUAGAAUGUUUCCAUGUAUCGGCUGACAAAGUGUAAAAAUGAUGGCUGACUUAUUUUGGCUGAGUUACUGAUUUGUUUGUCGGCUGAUUAACCGAUGUUCCAUGUCAUCUGCCAUGUCAUCAACUCGGAUUUGACAUGUCAUCACUAACGGUCGCCCAAUUUACAACUGAGUUACGAGACCUUUCAGUUGCCUUCUUCAUCUUAUUUUUGAAUGAUUACACAGCCUUUCUUUUCUUCUUCAUCAUCUCAGUUAUCUAUCCUCUUCAUCUUUCUCAUAUGGUAAUGGAUCCCGUUAUUAUUGUUUCCGGUAAAUGGAUUAUGAAAAAACGAUAUGUAUUCAACGUCGACAGUAGAGGGUGUAGAGUUCUUCAUUUAGGUGAGAAAACUAAACUUAAAGAUUUCACAAAGUCUGUCAUCGAUGAUUACGGUUUGAAUGAUUUGAAGGUUCAUAUUCUGCUUAGCUACAUGUUUUCGAAUAAAACAUUGAAAACAAUGGCGCACAACACUCCACCAGUUUACGUGUCCAACACUCGACAAUUGCAAUGUUUUCUAAGCUUAAAGAAAAGCGAACAACUACGUCUCUGUGUGGAGAUUACAGAGAAAAAGGAUGACAGCUCAGACGUAGAAGCUUCAGAAGAAGAAGCUUCAGAAGAAGAAGCUUCAGAAGAAGACGCUUCAGAAGAAGACGCUUCAGAAGAAGACGCUUCAGAAGACGCUUCAGAAGAAGACGNNNNNNNNNNNNNNNNNNNNNNNNNNNNNNNNNNNNNNNNNNNNNNNNNNGCUUCAGAAGAAGAAGCUUCAGAAGAAGACGCUUCAGAAGAAGAAGCUUUAGAAGAAGAAGCUUUAGAAGUUGAGUCUAUAGAGAAUGGGAGUUACGAUGGUUGCAGUUUGGAGGAUGAACAAGAUGAAAUUGAGAAUGACUGCUUUAGUAACGUUGAAAUACACGACGUAGCCGGAGAAGAUGAAAUAGGCAAAGAAAACGAAGAAGAUGAUGAAUUUGAAAGUCGAUUUGAUAUGUUCGAUGACUCGGACGGUGCGUCAUCUGAAGAUGAUAACUUCAGCACAUACGGUGAGUCUCCUAUCGAAGAAGACGAAGAUUCACCAACGCUACCUUCCAAGAAGAGAUAUCAGAACUUCUUGAUGAGCGAAUCUAAAGGGAAUCUGGAGGUUUUGAAGUUGGAGAUGUCGUCGUUAGACCUUGCGGUAGGACAACGAUACUUGACUAAAAAGCAUUUGAAGAGACGACUGAAACUUUUUACAGUGAGGCAUCAAUUUGAUUUUGAUGUAGAAAUAUCAAACCUGACAAUAUACGUUGUUAAGUGUUGGGUUGAUGGAUGUACAUGGAGAGUUCGUGCAUCUACCGAAGGAUUGUCCCCGCAGUUUUAUAUUCGUAUUUACGACUCGGAUCAUGCAUGUUCUGUAACUGAGCGUUCUAAUCGAUCUCGAAAUGCAACACCGGAUAUUUUAGGAGAGUUGUACAAGAACUUUCUCGGCGACGUUGGUCCGGCCGUUCGCCCUGAGAGUGUCGGAAUAGCUAUCACUAAGCAGUUUGGUGUAAAGGUAAUUAUGUUAAAACGGCUGAGUUAUGGUAGAGUAUAGGCUGGGUUAUUUUAUGUUAGAAAUGGCUGAGUUACAAAACUAUGGUUGAGUUAUGUUUACGUUGUGACCGUCUUAAUGAUAUGAUGUGGCUGAGUUAUGUAAAUUGUUUUUUCAUGUGAGCAGAUGGAAUAUUGGAAAUCACACCGGACACUUAAAUGUGCAAGGGAAAUCGAUGAGGGCACACCUGAGUGUGGUUUUGAACUCUUGCCUUCUUACUUAUACAUGAUAAGAAGGGCAAAUCCGAAUACAGUUACGCGUCUUCAAAUCGAUGAGCUUGGAAGAUUCAUGUAUGUGUUUCUUGUGUUUGGUGCGAGCGUUAAUGGGUUUCCUUUCAUGCGCAAAGUUGUUGUCGUCGACGGUACGUUUCUUAAUGGUAAAUAUAAAGGGACGCUACUCACAGCACUAGCUCAGGAUGGUAACUUUCAGAUUUUUCCAAUAGCCUUCGCAGUGGUUGACACUGAAAAUGAUGAUUCGUGGAAUUGGUUUUUUACGCAACUAAAAGUGUUGAUUCCUGACCAGGAGGGUCUUGCGAUAAUAUCAGAUAGGCAUAACUCGAUAGGGAAAGUAAUUACAAAUGUGUAUCCGUUAGCUGCUCGUGGAAUAUGCACCUAUCAUUUGUAUAAAAACAUAUUGGGACGGUACAAAGGAAAAGAUGUAUUUCGGCUGGUGAAGAAAGCGGCGAGAUGUUUUAGAAUGUCUGACUUUGAUAUGAUUUUCGAGGAGAUUGAAGCACUUAAUCCUGAUCUCCACGGCUACCUCGAAAGAGCUGAUGUCAGACUGUGGACACGUGUUUAUUUCCCGGGCGAGAGGUACAAUUUGAUGACUACGAACAUAGCGGAAUCAAUGAACAGAGCAUUAUCGCAUGCUAGAGGUCUUAACAUUGUUCGAAUAUUGGAAUCGAUACGGGUUAUGAUGACCAGAUGGUUUGCUGAACGAAGAGUGGAUGCCAGAUCGCAGUCAACCACACUCACGCGCGGUGUGGAGAAACUAUUACAAGUAAGUCAGUCGUAACAGUAAAAUAAGUCAGUCUUUAAAUCUAAUAAGUCAGUCGUUAUAUUGCAUAAUCCAGCUUUAUAAAUAAUAAGUAAGCCGUUUCACGAAUAUUGGGUUUUGUUAAUAGGGACGUGUAAGUGCCUCCCGGGAUUGGACGGUUCAAAGGAUUGAUGACCAUCAUACUGAAGUUAAAUAUGGCGCUGCUGGCGAGUCUUUGAAUGUUGUUAAUUUGGUUGAGCGAAAGUGCACAUGUCGGCGUUUCGAUGUCGAGAAAAUACCAUGUGUACACGCAAUCGCAGCUGCAGAGGAAAGAAAUGUUUCUCGAAUAUCACUGUGCAGUCCUUACUAUAAAAGCACUUAUUUAGCUAGCGCAUACGCUGAAUCGGUCAUGCCGGUUGACUCAGCGCUACCUGUUCCAGAUAACGUGGCUAACGUACAGUGCUUUCCACCGUUUAUUCGUCAACAACCGGGAAGACCUAAAAAAAAUAGGAUGAAAUCUGCUUUAGAAGUUGCACUUGCAAACAAACGUCCUAGGAAAGAGCACAUAUGUUCUCGUUGCAGUCAAAGUGGACAUAAUGCGAGAACUUGUCCGACAUAAGCAAUUGCUUUUCAUGUUGUUUUGAAAUACGGCUGGGUUUUGUGUUGUAAUACGGCUGGGUUUUGUGUUGUAAUACGGCUGGGUUUUAUUUUCAUUGAUUUGCACAACGGCUGGUUUAUUAUUUGUAAUACGGCUGGGUUUUGUGUUGUAAUACGGCUGGGUUUUUUUGUAUUGUGGUUGGGUUUUUAUUUUCAUUGAUUUGCCCGCUUCCCAUUACUCAAGAGAGACACAGACAUCGAAAAACGAAAUGUCCGUACUUAAUUGCCCUACGUUACGUAAUAGCCCCUACGUAAUUAUUGAUUAUAAAGUGGAAUACGAAAGUAGCGAAUUAAAUUAAGAGAAAUUAAUCUUCAUUGGCUGAGAUAAUGUUACUCACACGCCUAAUAAUUGUCGUGAUUUCUAAUGUCAGCUCUUUUAUUCAAACGCAGUUGAAAAAAACUUCCCCGCUAGAAACACGAAACGUCGCGAAGUCAAUUAAGGCUGAGUUAUUGUAAUACACGGCUGAGUUAUGGAUUAAAUUCCCGCUCAAAAUAAGAAAUAAGAAACGCCGCGAUACGAAACUACAACCGUUAACUGCAGAUAAAUAAUGUACUUCUCAAACAAUUACACAUCUUCAACUCUCUAUCUUUUACACAACUGUCCUCUCAGAGAAAAUGGAAUAUUUCCCUCUGCUUGAAUUGCCUGAAGAUCUUCAGGCAAUGGUGGUUGAGCAUGUGGCCCGUAACUCCUUCCAAGAUCUCUACCGCCUCAGAGCAUCGUCCAGGUCGAUGAAGGCGUUAGCAGAGAUGCGUAGGGUAUACCAUUAUUUCGAUGUGUUAUCCUUUCCCUGGGGUCUCAUUAUGCCAUCUCAGUUGUUGAAAACUUGCUACGCUGAGAACAAUCCAAGCACAAUUUAUGUAAAGGGUGUACAGUUUUUCUACUCAUACGAUGAGCAAGAUUAUGGCCUUUCUCUCCUCAAGCGUGCAGCAGAUGCAGGAUAUGAGCGUGCAGUGUAUACACACGCUAUGACUGAAGCAAUCUUUUACGGUGAUACGCAGUAUUUUCGGAGAAUUCCAAGAGCAACUGUUGACAGGGUCGGGAAACUUGUUCGAGAUGCGAAAUGGGGAUGGGGUUUGUGGCAUACUGACGAGUUCCGUCAAAUUAAGGCCAUGUUCACUUCUACUUAUGUUCCGUCCUUCUACCUUUGCCAAUGUGCAAAUGUUGUGGACCGACAAUGUCUCUGCCUAUGGCACAUUGAUGUGACUAAGGACGACAACAUGUGUGAGCGCUGUUUCUGGAUCAAAGAGAUUUCCUUGUUCUUUCGUGAUUUUGAACCGAUAAGCCUGUUUAGGGACACAAGUAAGUGGUGAAGAUGUCUCUGCAUCAGAAUCUUAUCUUUUUUAUGUUUUUUGCUAUGCCAUUAUGUAUGUCGAACAAAAAAAUUAUAUAUUCUGUUUUUAUGGCUGACUUAUUUUCUUAUGGCUGAGUUAUUUUCAUCUUAUGGCUGACUUAUUUUCAUCUUAUGGCUGAGUUAUUUUCAUCUUAUGGCUGACUUAUUUUCAUCUUAUGGCUGAGUUUUGAUUGUUUUUUGAUUGUUAGAAAUAUGACUGUUUUUUUAUUGUUCACCUAAACGUUAAGACUGAUAUUAUUACAUGUUACGGCUGAGUUGUUGUUUCGGAAGAAAUUAACAACGGCUGAGUUAAAUCCGAGUUACAUAAACAUAGACUGACUUAUGAGUACAGAAUCUGAGUAAACAAAGAAGUAGUAGUAGCAACUAAUACAUUUAAGACUUCAUCCUAAGACAUUCAAUAAUUUUUAUGAUCUCAGUUAUGUCUUUCUUCAUAUCAUCUAAUUCUGCUUUUAUAGCGGCCAAAUCCUGCUCUAUCGUCGCGAGUUUGUUUGCCACAACUACAAACUCUUCAUCAUGUGCUUCAUCAAGCCAUUUGAAAACAUGGUUUUGACCCGAAUUUGCUCCACAUCGAUAAAAUCUUUUACCCGGAUUCUUUAUUGUACCUGACGUUAACACAAUGGUAGCAGCUCCACAGUCGCACGUCCUUGGAAUUCCACGCUGUAGAUCCAUCUAAUUUAUACAUCAUAGCACACAAAAAUAAUGCAAAAUCGAACAAGGCCAAAAUACAAAAAAUAAUUCAAAAUCGAUUUUGGACGAAAGAGACUUACUUUAGGUUUUAGAAGUCGACUCUGGUUUUUCCUUUAUCUUUUACUUGUAAAUAUUGGAAAUAUAAUAGGAAAAUCAUAUUAAAUAUAAAGAUCACGCGUGUCCAAAUAAAAUAAACAUAUAAUGACCUUGAUAUCGUAAAUUACUCGGACAUGCGUGUCAGGACAUAACUCGACACUGAGUUAAAUUAUGUAUGACUCUUUUGGCCAACUUUUAUUUUGUCGACAUCAUUAAUUAUUAACUAUGUUACGGCUGAGUUUUAUUCUUCGGCAUUAUUAAUUAUUAACAAUGUUACGGCUGAGUUAUAUUUUCCGGCAUUAUUUACUUUACACAAGGAAAAAAAAAGAAAUCAUUUUCUUCCCAACGCGAAAAAAAAAAGCUCUCGACGACAGGCGAUUUCGAUACGAAGGUAAAACCGAAGCCUCUCUUUUGCAGAUUUGUGGAUUCAGCUUCGGUUCGAUGAUGUUUUCUUCCCAUUCUUUUCUUGUUUGCAGAUGCCUAAUUCGCACAAACCUCAUUUCUUGAAGCCUCUGCUUCCCGAUUUCCACAGUGGCGUGGUAGACACACACUCUCUAUUUCUCAUGUGUAUAUGUUCCUAUUUUAGAGUUUGCUUAUCUUUGGCUUUUCUGACCUGCAGACAAUACCACUUGGCUUCUUCUCACAACACAUAGAAGGGAAGACAAACCGGAAAACAUGGAAACUAAGAUCGGACGCUACAGAUCAAACUUGGGAAGUGAUACAAGAAGGCAGGAGACUCACCGGAGGUUGGAAAGAUUUCACCACAGCACAUGACCUUCAAAUCGGUGACAUUGUCAUCUUCAAACACGAAGGAGAUAUGGUGUUUCAUGUCACACCAUUUGGUCCUAGCUGUUGUGAGAUUCAGUAUACACAUCCUUACAUCAUCAAGGAAGAAGCCGAUGCGGAUGAUGUUCCUUCUUUCUCAUUUGACUAUUGUUUUCAGGCUGAGGUCAUUGCUUCGAAUCUAAAAGAAGACAAACUUGUGAGUCGAUUUUCAGUUAUAGACCAUAUUUAGUUAGUUAUUAACAUAUGGUUUGAUCUGUUCAGUGUCUUUACGUUAUGUGUUUGCAGUAUUUAGUUAGUUAUUAACAUAUGGUUUGAUCUGUUCUGUGUCUUUACGUUCUGUGUUUGCAGUAUCUUCCUGAGGGAGCUACGACUUGUACUGCUUUGAACAAACAAUGCCAAGAGAUAAUACUUGUCAACAAAGAGGGAAAUUCAUGGACUGUGAGUUUGCGAUUUAGCGAAGCAGACGGCAUGUAUUACAUCAGAAGAGGCUGGAGAAAGUUCUGUCGUGCUAACAGAUGCGCCAUAGGAGACUUAUUUGUGUUCAAUGUGGUUGGAGAUGGGAAAACUACUCCACUAAUGUGUGUAUGUCCGGAAAGGGAAGAGUGAUUUUGAACCUAAACUUAUGUAUGUCGAACCAGAAAUUUAUGUAUGUCUCUUUUUAUGGCUGACUAAUACUCAUAUAAUGGCUGGGUUAUUGUUUGAUUAUGACUUAAUUAACGUAACGGCUGAGUUGCAGUGAACGUUAUAACUGAGUUAUUAAAACGUUAUGACUGACGAAUACUCGUAUUAUGGCUGGGUUAUUGUUUGAUAGUGACUUAAUUAACGUACCGGCUGAAUUGCAGUUAACGUUAUAACUGAGUUAUUAAAACGUUAUGACUGACGAAUACUCGUAUUAUGGCUGGGUUAUUGUUUGAUUAUGAAUUAAUUAACGUAACGGAUGAAUUGCAGUUAACGUUAUAACUGAGUUAUUAAAACGUUAUGACUGACGAAUACUCGUAUUAUGGCUGGGUUAUUGUUUGAUUAUGAAUUAAUUAACGUACUGGCUGAGUUGCAUUGAACUUAAUAGCUGAGUUACUAAAAACAUUGCGUCUAAAUUAUGAUUACAACACAUGACUACGCAAAGAAAUAGUGCCAAAAUAUGGCCAUACCAAACCCACAAACCACCACUGGAAACAUCAAACACUUCAUCUUUUCCGCUUUACCGAGUUCUUUCUCCAACCGACCAACGUCUACUCUCAGAUCCGAUAUGCCUUUGGUCAUGUCACUCAUCACCGAUUUCAUAUAUUCUACCUCUUCCACCAAGCACUCGACCGCCCAUUUGAAUAAAUGUCUCUGAUUUCACCAACAUGCCCAGCUCUUAGUAUCACAUUGACAGUAUAAUGAAUAAAAUUAAAAAUCAAACCUUAAUAUAUCCUUUGCGACAGCAAUAGUACAGUCGUCCUGGAUUAGCCCGUGAUGCAGAUGUACAUAAUUCAGCGGGUUCACCACACCAACACUGUUUCGGCGUUCCUCUUUCCACAUGCCGGCGGUGAAAGUAAGUGUUACCAGACACAGAUGAUGAAGAAGACAUUUUCUUUGAAUGAAAGAGAAAUUGGUGUGAAAGACCAAGUUAAAACAAUAGUGGUAGUAAUAUAAAAUCAUUUUUUUUUUAAAUUCAAAUAAAGAGGAAUAAUUUAAAUUAAUAAACUAUUAAAUGCCUCGAUAUUAGGUUUGAGCUGUAUUUUUCCACACACGUGAUGCACUUUAAUUAUGACGAAUACUCAAUCAAAUCAAGAAAUACGAAAGGUUCUUUAUUAUUUUAUCAAACACUUAAGUUGAAUUCGUAUUACGGCUGUGUUAGCGUCUAUAUUUUGGCUGAGUUAACGUAGAUGUAUUGACUGAGUUACAUUAAAAAUAACAAUACCUCGAUUAUGUAAAUAAUCCGAUACAUGCGUGCCAGCCGUAUAAUAAUGAGUCUCGAUAUUCUCAAUGCAAAUGCAAACGAAAUUUCUCAUGCACAUAAUAAUAAGAGAAUAAAGGUCUCUAAUAAUAGUAGUCUCGAUAAUGUAAUGACGGCCAUAAUAAUGAGUCUCGAUAUUCUCAGUGACGAUGGAAUUUCUCGCACGUAUAAUAAUAAGAGAAUAAAGGACUCUAAUACUGGUCUCGAUUAAGUAAUGGCGGCCAUAAUAAUACAUGGAAAAUAGCGUUAACUUUGGCUUUGUAUUUUUACAAUAUAAGGCUGAGUUAUUAGUAUCUUAAUUCGUAUUACGGCUGAGUUACUUAACUGAAACACUGACGUUUGACGCAAACAAUUCCGGCUGAGUUAAACAACUUUAUAAAACCUUAACGGUUGAGUUAAACAACUUUAUAGAAACUAAACGGCUGAGUUAAACAACUUAAUAGAAACUUAAUGGCUGAGUUAAACAACUUUAUAGAAACUUAACGGCUGAGUUAAACAACUUUACAAAAACUUGACGGCUGAAUACAAACAAAAACAACAAAUCAAUUACUAAAACCAAAAUUAUCAGGACCAAAUUCUUCAAACAUGUGGACAAGAUCACGCCAAACUCUAGUUAGCAUCCACGCAGGCUUCUCACCCCCAUGUGCCCACCUCCUCUUCAAGAGGCGCAUCUGACAACGAAACACCGUUCUGGCCACCAGAUUAAAAUUUGUCCAAACUUGAAAAUUAUAUCUUCGUGCCCACGUGCGUUUGCGCUACAACAAAAAACCAAUUUCCAAAUGUAAGUGAUGUUAUUAUGUCUAAUAUCAAAAACAAUUCAAAGAUGUUGUCCUUACAGCGAGUUGAAGAAACCAGCGUUCCUUAAAAUGAUCGGGAAUGGCGCGCCAUGUCGGCCAAUCAUGAACCCAUCCUUCUGCUAAAAUCGACGGGAUGGCCAGGGAGAGAUCGCUUAGAAAUUUAAACCAGAUUACGCUGUCAAGCAAGACACCCGGGCCAGGGUAUAGAACGGGAAGGUUUUCACGAUUUUCAGAGUUUAGUAUCUCAUUGACUCUGUUCUCUAACCUUUCUGAAUAACCAGGAACAAUCAUAACUUUGUAAGGCGAUAUAGAGAUAUUGUUUAGGUUUUCUAGUGAGAUAAGGCGAGAAGGUGCAAGAGAAGGGGGCUAUAUAUAGGGGAAGUAUAGAACAUUAAAGGUCGCGAGAUAAAAUAUCUAAAAUUUUCGCGCCAUAUGUAAAUAUUCUUACACUAACAGGCUGAGUUAGUAAGACCUUUACGGCUGAUUUGUUGUUUGCCGUUUAGGGUAUAGGGUUUAGUUAUUUAGGGUUUGGGUUCCGAAUAAGAUUGUUUAGGGUUAUGAUUUAUGAUGUACGAACCACAAGAUAUGAUAAAUAUCACAAAUUCAUAAUAAAUAACACAAUAACAAUUUACGUGUUUUGAAUCAUGCUCACACCUCAUAUCACUGCCAAGAGUUUUAGGUACUCGUAAGAGACAACAUAUACCUCAAGAUUAUAAUCGAUUCCAAACUCGUAUAGUCAACAAAGAUCAUGCUCACACAUUGAGUUAUUAUUAAUUAUUUUGAUAAUUGGACUUUAUAUAUAACAUUCGAAUGAAAAAUUAUUAAUUAUUUUGAUUCUAGGGUAUGUUUGAGGUAUGACUGAGUUAUCAGUGAGUACUGGCUGAGUAUUACUAAUCGAUACGACUGAGUUAUUACAGCAGUUAUCCAAAGUCAAAUAGUUAACAUAACAACAAACACAGGUUCACAAACAAACACAGUUUCAUUAUGAAAACAAAUUGUUCAUUCCAACAUUUCCUCCUUCCUCGAGGAUAUCUGCUGCCAUCUUCACCCGUAACCCUUGAAUAUUACUAUCGUUUAUGCCAUCAAAAGUUACACCAAGCGCUAGACACUCCACAAACUUCAACGAAUAAACCCCACAAUCACCUGACAUGUUGUUUUGUGGAAUGUAUCUUUUGCUCCUCCGUCUGAAUGCGAACCUCUUCCUAGAAUGCUUUCGGAGAUCGGCAGGAAUAAGCUCAUUCAACAUCCAGGGAAGCAUCUCCAGUAGAGGUCUAAAAGCAUUUAGCAUUUUUUGCUCACUUUCGGGUGUUGACUCUCCAUAGAUUGGAUCGUAGCAAUCUAUCUUCUCCUUGAUCAGAUCCACGUGAAACGCCACCCAGUGAUUACCGCCGGUUUGAAGACAUCCGUACACGUGAUCCACAUCUGCAUACCACUUCAAGUUUGUUGUAAAUUCUUCGGGGAAUCUCCCGUUUACCAACGCUUCAUAACCACUGUCUUUGAACUUGAACGAAGCAGGUUUCAUCCUGAACUGCCUGUAAUCGAGGGAAGCCCAAGAACUUAACAACCAAGGGUCUAUGAAACCAAUCCGCUUGGACCAGAAUGGAGUGGGAUCUCGCAUGGACCUUUGUAUGAGGACGUUCAUAUACGCAGCGAUAUGCUAGACAAAGAAAAAUAAUAAGUCAGCCAUAAUAUAAUGAAUUAAAUAUAUAAGUCAGCCUUUAUAGAAUAUAUAAGCCAGCCUUAAUAAAGACUUACAUUAUCAAACACCCAUCCAUAUUCUUUGUCAGGCCACGGUCUUUCAUGCAUGAGUAUGCUGUAGAAGUCACUCUCAUGAUCAGCUGAGGGUUCUACUGGUUUAUCUUUAGGUGCUGGUGGUUUGGGUGGAAUUGCCUUAAUGUGUUGCUUCAGUUUUUCCAGUCGCGCCGGAUCAACAGGUGCGCAAGGGUCGUAUAUUACUGAUGAAGGCGUAAUGUUCUUCCUCAUGCAAGUCGUCUAUUGUCUCCAAUGUACGGAAAAUCUGGUGCUGAAUCAAGGUUCGUCAAUGAAAACCCUUGUGGAGAUAACUUAACUGAUUUCUCCCGAAGUUCCUUUAUCACGGAAGAUCUAAUCAAUUCAGCUGGCUCGACAUCAGACUCCGCCGCCAAUGCGUUAUCUUCCGCAAGAAUUUCGUCGUUGGUCACAACACAAUCCUCAGUCCGCUGUAACUCAGCCUCUUCUUCUUUCUUCUUCUUCGGUAACUCAGCCUCUUUUUCCUUCUUUUUUUUCUGUAACUCAGCCUCGUCUUCCUUCUUUUUCUUCUGUAACCCAGCCUCUUGUUUCUUUUGUAACUCAGCCGCUUUUCUCUUCUGUUUCUUCUCCUCGUUCUCUUUUUUCUUAGCCUCUUGCUUCUCCUUCCUCUUCAACGCAGCCUCUGCCCGCUGUGCUUUUUUCUUAUCCUCGAUAGCCUCAUCCUUUACAGUAACAGUACGCUUGGCCUUGCCCCGUAAGCCGCGUCCAUAGGCUGGAACGUUGGCAUCCUUACCAUCCUUAGCAUCCUUAGUAAUCUUUGCAGGAGAAACACUGAUGAAAUCAGUUUCAUUAAAAUCAUCACCCAAAAUCCUUCUCACCACUGUAUCCUUCUCAAGCUCCGCAUUCUUCUUUGCAGGGGUCUCAGCUAACGCUGGACUUUUGACUGACUUCUGCUGUUUCUGCUGCGCCGGCACCAGACUUUUGACAGCCUUCUCCUUCCGCUGCGGCGGCACUGGACUUUUGACAGCCUUCUCUUUCUGCUGCGGCGGCUCUGGACUUUUGACAGGCUUUUUCUGCUGCCGCGGUUCUGUCACUGGAGUUUUUACAGACUUCUCCUCCUGGGCCUGCGGUUCUACCACUGGACUUUUGUCCGACUUUUCCGGUGGCGACCUCCUACGAGGUGAUGAUGUCACCGAUAAAGAUUUUUCUACGCCGGCGGAGGAGAGUUUAGCAUCGUUGUCGGGAAUUUUCCUUUCCCCCAAAACUUUCAGACUCUGCUGCACUACAGCUUUCACCACGUUAUCUAGGGUCUUCUCGUCCAUCACUGGCCGGUUCCGGUCAAAAUCGUAAGCGUCAAAUUUUGCUGAAAUAUUCUGCAGAGCACUCACAAGAUUCGUCAGAGUCGCUUUGUCCAAUACAGCUUCCUCCUCGCUAGAACCCUUUCUCGUUUCAGCAGCUUCUUUCUUCUGCUUCUUUGUUGAUGGUUCAGCUUCUGAUGAAACUCCCUUCGUUUUCUUCUUCUUCUUCUCAUUCCCCUUCCCCUGCUCAUCCCUCUGUACUUCCCAGAAACCUUUCACGUAUCUACCUGCGUGUAUGUCUUCUACCAACCUAACGAGUUGUGGGUCGUCAGGUUCAUCCGACCAUACAGGAAACAUCUCUUCAAUUGACUCCUUCAUAACCAUUCUCCUCAAACGGACCUGCAACACCAGUUUAUCAUAAACUCAGCCAUCAAAUAACACAAAACCAAGCCAUCAAAUAAAUUAAUUCGGUCACAAUAUAAAAUAAACUCAGCCAUCAAAUAGACUAAUUCGGCAACAAUAUAAAAUAAACUCAACCAUUAAGUAGCUGUUAACUCAGUCGUAUAAGUAGCAGUUAAACAUUACCUCGCCAUGAUCUUUGAUUUCGUCAGACAAGACAGUAUCAAAACUUGAACGUGUACGCCUUCCACCCCAUCGCAAAAGAGGAACGUCUUCAUUGUUGACCACUCUCCCAAACUUCUCACCGAAACAGACGAUGGACUCAUACGCCCAAACCAAUAAAACGUCCUUCAUGCCGCUUACUGUGUAUGACUUUCCAUCUGGAGACAGUGUUUUCAGAGAGUCAACAAGAACUUCGAAUGCAGUCCGACCCCAUGGAUACGACCUCAUGGCUUCAUCGUCGAAUACCCUUAUUGCACUUUGAAAGGGUAUCCUUGAAUUGUGAUGCAAACAGUACAGUCCCAUGGCUUGAAGAAAUAACAUCCCCAACCACUUACGCUUUUCAAAACUCCAACCAGGACAGAACUCUAAUGCUGCCUUCAGCUCAUCAUACUUGGGUCCCAUCCCAAGCGGCACCUUCAACUCCUCCCAAAACUCUUUGUAUUGAUCAGGUUCAAAACUUUCUGUUGGCAAUGGACCUGUGUUUAACCCAGUGAUCUCACCAAACUCGAGCAAGCUAAACCUGAUAACAUCAUCAGCCACAACAGACCAUAUCUCCUUUUUAUGCACUCGCAGCUGUCUACAUAGCAGAUAGUGUACGGUCCUACCAGACCAAAUGCUUUCGCGUGAAAGUAGCCUAGCAACUACUCCAAUGGGAGAGUUCACCAGUUCUUCCCACACAUCGAGUCCUAUUGUUUCUUUAAUGUGGGGGAAAUGUCCUGCACGGAAAUUAUGAUUGAUAUCUUUACCUUCUAGGUUAGAAGGGUAAAGUCUUGGAGGGUAAUCACGUGGUUCGACUUGACUAACAUCCAUCUGAUCAUAUAACACAACAAUAAAUCAGCCACAACAUAAAAAUAACACAGCCAUAUCAUAAUAUUAAAAUAUAUUAGGUCAUAUAUAUAACUCAGCCAUAACAUAAUAAUUACUCAGUUAUAACAUAACCAUAACUCAGCCACAACAAAAAGCCCUAAUUCAGACACAACAAAAGCCUAGACAAUCACAUAUCUCAGCCGCAACAUAACCCUAACUCAGACACAACAAAAUCCUCGACAAACCCAUAGCACAGUCAACAUAACCCUAACUCAGUCACAACAAAAACCUCGACACACCCAUAUCACAGCCUCAAUAUAUAACUGACCCACAAACUCAACCAAAAUACAAUAUAUAACGUCGCGACAUCUUACCGGAAAAGAUGAACUCGUUGAUGAGAAUGCGGUGAAGGCGAUUUCGUACAGACGACGGUUUCUAAAAACUCCGACGAGACAGAGUUCAACGACAGAGAGUUAUAGAGAGUUCAGCGACAGAGAGUUGGAGAGAGUUCGAAGAAGUAAAGAACAAUGUCGACGAGGGUUUCGAAGGGUGAGACGAUUUCGGUUUGCGGUUCCUUCUUCGACACAACACAGUUCUUCGUGUUCUUUUCUUUUCUUUUUUUUUACAAAACCGUAUGUAUGAUAGUGAUAGUGAUAGUGAUAGAGACGGUUUGGUUUCAAAAAAUAACUGAUGUGAUGUGGAUUUUAAAUAACUGAUGUGGCUUUGAUCUUUAAAAUUAGUUUCAGAAAAUAAAACAUAACAAAAGCCCCUUAUUGUAAAUUACUAGGAAAGAGAAAACAUUCUAGUAAUAAAACAAAGAUAUACAACAUUCUAGUAAUAAACCAUAAAAUGUGUAACAUUCUAGUAAUUUUCUCUAUAUUAUUUGGUGUAUAUGUUUACGUUUCAUAGAAUUUAAAUGUGGUUUUAAAUAUAGUUUUACUAAAUAUUAUCAAAAUAUAUUGAAAUUUCCAGAAAAAUAUAGAUAAUUUCAUUAUGAAUAUAAAACCAAUAAUAUAAUGUUUAUUUUGUACUUAUAUAAAAUGUAUAUAUGUGGAUUAUUAAUUUAUGAUUUUAAUGAGACUAUACAUUUACAUAGAUUUUUUAAAAAAAAAGUAUUAUUUUAUUACAUUUUAUUUUUUGUGUCAUAUUUUAAACCGGCACAAUUCGGGAUAGAGGAAAUUUGUUAAUUUAUAAUGUUUGUUAAUUUAUCGAGUAUCAAUUUAUAGAGUUUCUACUUACAUUGAUUUUCCUCCUCCAUCUACGAAAAACACCUAAGUUGAAAGGAAACAACAAUUAUAUUCCAUAGAAAAAUAAACCUCUGGAAUACUUGGAAUGUUUCAAAUCUCAAAGAAAGCUUGACCAAAAUACUUAUCCAUCACUGAAAAAAAGAAAGUCUUGCUCCUGAAACACAGCAGAUAAUGAGCUCAGUUGCAUAUCACUGAAGCUAGAGGGCGUAACUGCGUAAGGUUUCUAUAAUGUUAACAUUAGGUAACUGGAGAGUUACAUCAAUAGAAGAACGAGCAUGAAACGUGAUAAACUAAAAGAAAGACAAAAAAUCACCAUUUCGAAGAGAAAACCUUUCAAGUCUGAGGUUGAGAAUAGACAAACGACUUGAACACAACUCUAGGAAGACAACCUAUAAUCAUGAGACACAUGCAUAGACCAAAACAUAGACACCAUGACAUCAAUCUCAAUUGUCGGGUGAACAUGAAAGAGACGAACUUCUGAUUUCAAGAUUCUGAUUAUUGCUUUUGUUACCGAAGUGAGACUUUUUAAAAUGUCACAAAUACAGAGCCGUCUCAAAUUAAUUUUAGACCAUGUUCAAAAAAUUUAGUAAUUGUACAUUUUAUCAAGUAAUUUUAAAAUUUAAUAACUUUGUCUGAUUUUUUAGUUAUAAGUUCUAAAUUUAGCAUUAUAUCUAAAAUUUUAAAGUUUCUUACCAUAAUUUAACUAUAUAUUUUUAAAGAAAUUUAAACUUUUUAUUUUUAUAUUUAGAGCCCUGUUCGAUCGCUCCACUUGUCGUACUGUUAAACGACCCUGCACAAAUAUAAUAGCAGACUAAUUGUUAAUUGUCUUUUCUGUAACAUCCAGUGACGAUCUCGUCACAUCUUUAGUUGGAUUCUGCCUUACUACUUCAAUGGAAUCCAAAAUAAACCUAACCACGAAUCUCUCCUAGUACAACAAGCUACUCGUCAGCUCAUACGGAUGGUUAGCUCCAGACAUUAAUCUGAAACAAACCUUUCCAGAAAUUGGUAACGACAUGAACGGGAGAGGAGGAAGAAGAAAAGAAAGAGGACACAAGCAAGACCUUGAUACGAAGAAAGUUUCUAGGAAACGAUUUUUUUUUUUUGAUAUUUGGAUUUGGCAACACAAUUUGUUUUCUUUUUUUAUCUCCAAUCAUCGUGACUUGUGAAAUUACUUUGAAAUUCAGAUAAAAAGCUAGGAUUUAUUUCUUUUUUUUCUAUUAAAAAAAAGUAAUUAUAACUAAUUUUUAAUGCAAUCAAUUGGAUAUUGAAUAACAUGGGAACUUAAUUAUUUUCAAAUUCAUUCAACAAAUCGCUAAUCCAAUAACAUUAAAUUAAAUUCAGUUUUUUUUUUCGAAUCCACAGUUGAAUAAUACUGGAUUUCACUUUAGUGUUAAAUUCCAUCAAACUCCAUUGAAUUACCAAAUUAAAUUACAAUAUUUUUGAGGUUUUACAAACUUUUAAUAUAUUGGGAUACAAAUUUUGAUGGGGCAAGGCGACGGCUAGGCAUGGGCGUUUUUACCUCAAACUGAAGCUCCGAUUUUAACCCGAACCAAAAAAAAAUCCACUUUUCAUACGAGUUUACAAAAAUAUCUAAAUGAGAUUUAAGAGCUUGAUAUUUUCGGUUUUGGUUACAACCCAAACCGAAACCCAAACUAGAAUCCGAAAAUAGUUAAAUAUGUUAAUAUUUUUAUAAAGAAUGUAGUUUAGAUGUUUUAGAAUAGUUUAAAGAUUUUUGUCCUUUGUUUUAUUUUUAUUUUGAAUACUUUUAGUUAGUUUAGAUAGUUUAACUUGUUUCUAAUUAGAUUUUUUUAACAAUUUAUAUAUUUUGAGUAUUCGUUAACUUUUUAAAUCUAAAAAAUAUUUUUGGGAGAUUUUAAAUAUUGACUAUAAUCCGAUUUAGAAGGAACCGAACAAAAUGAUCCAACCCAAAAAUUAAUUAAACCUGAAUGAAACUUAUGAGCAUAGUAUUGAAAAAUUAAAAAUCUGAAUCAAUCGAAUUGUUCCAACAGAACCCCAAAUGUCAACGUCCAUGCCUAGCAAUGGCGGUUUCUUAUUUAUUUCUAUUUUCUUUAUAUAUUAAAUCACUAGUUUUAUACCCACCUGGUUUUGGUACAUCCUUUUGGAUGUUUAAAGAAAAGAACUCUGGCUCUCCACAAAAUAUGAAUAGUUCAAACUACUUGAAAGAGAGAAAGACCAUUCUUGGCUAUUUUUUGAUACCAAACUUCUCUAAAUAUUCUGAAACAAAAAGCAGGAAACUGAAGAAAAAAACCUGUCUAGAUUAUUUUGAGCAUCUACUUUUGGUUACAGGUAGCUUAAAAUGUCAAAAACAACAAAAUGUAUCGGUUUUCAUCUAUAUUGAUCUAAACGGGCAUCUUCAGUACGAGCUGACCCUCCAUAGCACUGCAACAUACAUUAAAGCACAUCAUCAACAUGGCCAAGUCCCCAAAUCGUUACUGGAAUUAUAAUCAUUUGUAGAUCAGGUUCACAAAGUCUGUGAUUACCUUUUGACAUAGUAAUAGCAGAAGUCGGCAAGGAUGAAGGUUUGAACGGCCUCGGCUAAUAGAGCCAUCGGGAACCAGAAGUAACCAGCGCCGAUUAGCCAUAGGUAAUGUCCACGAGACUCAAAGACCUACAUUUGCACACCAUUAGUCUCUUGAAUUUAAUAAUCGUGGAAGCUUAAUGGUUAUGGAAGAAUUUUACAGCUCUAAUUACCUGGAUAAGCCAAUGAGCGCAUGCUAAAAAUCUAGCGAUACCUAGCGCAAACACGUAAUGAGCUGUGAAAGGCUCUAUGAUCUGAAACGAUUGUUCGGGAAAAAUGUUAAUACUUGUCAUUCUACAUAUAUAAUUGGGUUAAUCGCAUGUAAGUGUAGUUAAUAAGACUUGGAUCAAUGUAACAUGACCAAGACGAAUACUCAACCAGUAGACCUAGGAAAACAUAAUUUGUAGAUAUCUCAAAAGCGACUUACUUGAGCAUUCUGCAUUAAUCGAAGCUGAGGCAGAACAGAGACAGAUUCCAAGUAAACGCAAAACGCCCACAUGACACGGUUGAUGUAAGUAUAUCUCGUACUCGGGUGGAUAAUGAAAGCAAGGAUAGCAGAUGGAACAAGCUAGUAGAGAAAAGCAUGUUACUUAUAAUCAUCUUGAGAGACAAGAAACAAACAGACAAAUCACAUUAUUUAUAUCAAAACCCAUAUUACCACAUAGUAAUGGUGGCAGUUGUCCAGAGUCUUCACAUAAGAUGCUUUCAGUUUGAACCGAAUCAUAUAAAUGACCCACAAAGUCGAAACCAAAGUGGCGAAAUCCAGAACUGUAUGGAUAUCACCUUCCAUGCUUAUACUGCAGAUCAGCCUCACAGCAAGAAACACUGCUGUCACUUCUUGAGACUUUAAAGAAAGACCUAAAGCAUUAAGCCAUUUGACAUCAUUAUCAGCCAAACCAAACCAAACCAAACACAGUAUAAAACACAACGUUCACUUCUGUUAACAUUUCAGAUUCCUUAGGACAAAGCUGCAGCUAUAAAAUAAUAAUAUCAUGAUUAUUUUACCGGAGCAAGUCUUUUGACGGGUGAGUUUAUAGAUGAGGAUUAUGAUUCCGGCGGCAUGGAUGAGCUCAGAGGCAACAAAGAAGUGGUUGUGAUUCUUGACGGUGAAUCUAAGAAACACGACGAGGAUCAGAGAGAGGAUGAUCCCUAAAGGUAUCUUAACCAUUUUCGAUUGGUGUCUCAACCACCCGAAUACAACGUUCACUGCGGAGACGCCUCUUCUCUUCCCCAUUUUUGGUUUGAUCUGAUAACCAAAUCUCUCUCUGUCUCUCUUUCUCUAUGUUUUGUGUAUGUUACAGAGCUUUUAUGCGACGUUUCUGAAAGUAAAUGAUACGUUUUGUAGAGUGAGCGGAGACACGACGAGGGCAUGCGGCUUCUGACGUGGCGAUUACUUUUUUUUAUGAUCUGACUAACGAAUAGAAUUAAGACACUUGGGACUGAUGAUUUCUUUCUAAGUCUAAAAUCUCGAUUGUGAUUUGGGAAAGCCUUUAAUUAGGAAAUGAAUUUAUGUCUUUGACUAUUUAUUUCCCAUUUUGUAAGAUUUUAUUUUAUAAUCAGUAUAACUUAGGAAGCCAAAAUCAGAAUCUUGGACCAGAAACACAGAUGUGAUUUUUAUAUUUUUAUGAAAAAAGAUUUGGAUACUCUGAUCUAACUCAAGGAUAAUUAAUAGGUAAGUGUUGUACAAUUUUUAUAGCCAUAACUGUUUUAUAGCAUUAAAUAUUUUUUCAUUCAUAUUAUGCAUAUGAUAUUUAAUGAUUGUUAUUUUUAAUUAAUUUAUUAAUUCUCAUAUUUAACAAAAUCUAGUGUUAUUGGUUUGAUAAUUUUCAUAAAUUUGUUGUUAUUCAAAAAAUAGAUACUAAUAAUUUUAUAAAUCUACUAAAAUUAGUAUUACUGUGAAUUUUAUAUUACACAAUUUAAUUCAUAUAUGUAUAAAAUUAGAUUCUUAAAAUCUCUAUAAAAUACAUUUCAUAGAUUUUUUAAUAUAUAAAAUUCACUCUAAUUAUUUAUAUAUUUAAUUAUUUUCUAGUUUUUAAAAUCAACUGACUCAAUAUAAAUCCAGUCGCGAUAACCCCCUAGUCUUUAACUGUAAAGAACAAACUAUUUAAAAUAUAAAUAUAUUGACUUUGAAAUAUUUAUGAAUCUAAUAUUAACUUUCAAAAUUAUACCCAAAUCAAAAAGCAUUAAACCUACAAAUACAGUAUAUCUUUUGAAUCUACUCAGACAUAUAAGCAUGAACAAAAUUCAAUGAUGAUGUAAUGAUGUAUGCAUAACUAGAUUACAGAGAUUAAACAUGGGUUUAAAAUGCCAUUCUGGUCUCCCCAUAACUUUAAAAGUCUGAUAAAAAAAUGAAAAUUUACUUAAACAAUGGCUCAAAAUAGUAUAAAUAUAAGUCAAAACUCGUGAGGAGCGAGCUUUAGGCAAAACUAAACCAAAAAUAAAGAAAAUCGAAGUUUUUCCCUUAUUGAACUACCAUAAUAUGAAUAAGAAUUGACAUUCAGGUGCCCGUUUAGGUCCACUUAAGUCUUUUUGGAUAUCAUUUUUUUGGUUCUGAAAAUGCCCCAUUCGGGUAUCAUAAUUUUUUGGGCCGGUUUCGAAUCAAGUCAAUUCCUCCCGGAUCAGAGUGGGUUUGAUUUUGAUGUAAAUGAGCUAAAAAAUAACCGGAUAAGAGUUGUAUCCAAAACGCGUUCUGAAAAUUUUAUCUUAAGUAACCGAACUCCCUUAAUCAGUUUGGUAUUUUGUAUCUAAGCAACCAAAUUUCCCCAAAGUAACAAAAAUAAUAAUUAUGUAUAGUUUGAAUUAGUUAUUUUUUAUUCGAAAGUAACUAUGUAUAGGAUUUGUUAAUUCGCUAUCAAGAAACUCUAAAAAAAUCUUCGAUUGCCUAAAAACUAUCAAAGAUUUGCACCAAAAAUUUCCUUACCUGGUUAAGGCUUUACCUCUACGUCUGGGGAGAGUAUGUUGCUCUCAAUCCAGUAGUGAAUCCAGGUUACGAUCAAUCAGUUUAAAAAGCUAAUACACAAUCGAUAUCGUAACAAUUAAGACUUGAUCUAACUUGUGUAUCUUUGUUAUGCAGCUUCUACAAGUACCUCAAUCACAAAGCAAUGUUGAGAACCUUUCAGACAGAUCGCAAGCGUCUUCGCGAGUCUUGGAAGCAAACUUAUAUGGAGAAGAAGACGAACACCAAGGAACAAAGUCAAAGUGCAAUUUGUGGCUGGAACUAUGUGUUCGAUUGUAUGUGGACAAUCUAUGAGCAUAAACUAAAGAACACACUGUUAACGGUGUUUGUUUACUACAUCUACAGGACCACGUUCAGAAUUCAUUAACUAGAAAACACCGCUACCUACAAUUGAUAUAUGAUAUCCAACACACACUUAUGCAUACCACUCUUAUCUAGUUACAACGACCACAUCAACUACUACUCAAUGUCUUUCCUGACGAGUAUAGUUUUCUACAAAUAAACCACCAACAGAACUCACCAUAUCUGUCUGGUGGGACAACACUUUACACAUGUGUGCCUCUGUCAAGAAUACCCUAGGCGUGUGCCUUAUUCUUUGACGGCCUCCUGGUAUUUAUCUUGAUUGCUAAACCCUAACCAUAGGAUCUUCAAGCAAUCUUUUCUUUUUCUUCUCAUAAGAAUAAGGUAGUUUUUCUCCAUCUUAAAUAAACUAUAUAACAUGAUUAUACAACCCAACGGCCACAUCUUGGCUUGUAUAAGUCGAACCCAUGUUGACCACUUACAUAUUUCAGCACUCGCCGCACAGCUCAGCUUCUUGUAUGACUUCAUACACCAGUUUCCGUACUACUUCAGAACUAGAACAUGAAACACUACAUGCAUUGACACAUCUUCUAACAUGUAACAUGACAUGUUAUUAGUUCUUCUCAGGAUAAAAAUAUAUUGUUUCCAAACCAGUAAGAUGGAGAGAUUGGCAAGAGAAAAAUUAUGGGAAUAGUACCAUGCACAUGAUUGUUUUCAGUAAUUUCAGCUCAUCACACAAAUGAACAAGAAUCAUUCUUCCCUAAGAACAAAAAGAAAAGAAAACAUAACGAGUUACAUCUUUUUGGAAUGAUGGUAAGUAUUAUUGAACAAUAACUAAGAAACCAAGCCCAGUCCCAAAAUCGCUACCGAAUGCAAGCAACGGUAAGACACAACAAAAUAUAUCAUAAACAACUGCAACACAAGGAGUCAUGGACACAACAAAUCUAUCGUAAUAAAACACACCAGCCAUAAACACAUCCGCGAUUAAUAUUACAAGUUAAAGAGUAUUUCAUAUUGAUCUUCAAGAUGUACACAAAACCAGAUCUCAAAAGCAACAAGCAGUGGCCUUGCCAUAACAUAGUGAAAAGGAUCCCACUGCCACAAAUACGAACUUUAAAAGUUAGAAAAAAACAUGAUGCUAACAAAGAGCAAAGAUGAUAACCACAAAAGAUGUCAUAGAUGGAGCAGGCAACGAAAAUCUACCACAUGAAAUCACAUCACGAUUAUGGAAAAACCAGCAAACCCCUCUUCUUUCAGUCAGAAACAGCCGCAAAGGUGUAAAAUUAAAUCUGCAAAAAAAAAAAAAACAGAACCAAAGGAUGAUAAAGGCUUCUAUUUUAGACAUUGUUAAACGCACAAGGAUCCAAUAUUUAUAGUUUGUACCCAAAUUUUAGUCAAAACUCAAUAUCAGAGAAACCCAUCAACUGAUUCAGACAAUUAUCCCAACUUUAGCCAUACAAAAGAAAAGUCAAGGGAGCAAUUACGAAAAAGAAAGAAAAAAAACAGACCAUCAUGAUUGAGAAAGAACAUGAUCAAGCUUGAGAGCGAGAAGAAGGAUGAAGGAGAAGAGAAAACUAUGCGCCGAAACCGCUUGAAACGACUUCCAAACUCUUCUCCAACUCACAACUCUUCUCUGCACCAAUAUUUCUUUACUCUUAAGUCUCUAAAUCAAUCAGAAAGACCCUUUUUCACACAGCUCACAAUUCAAAAUCUGAUUGUGUGAAAUUAGAUUUUUUGCAGAAAAUUUCAACAGACAAACACAUAAGAGAAGAGAAAAUGAUUCUUUUGGAGAAAAAAUGAUUUUUUUUUGAGUCAACAGAGGAUGAGUUUCCACGACAAAGACAGAUGAUGGAGAUGAUGACAAGCUUAGUUUACGAUAAUACCUUUUUAGUUUUUGUGUGUGACUAUGUAUAAAAAUGAAGGGUAAUUUUGAAAAUUUAACAUUAGCUUUAGACUAAGGCUACAACUAUUAGUUAGAUGUUUUUUUGUUAAAAAAAGUUGAGGUUACAUAUUGUUAGAAACUAAAUUAGAACAAACUUGAAAAAAUAUAUCCCCUAUAUAUUAAAAGAGAAGCAUUACAACAUAUUUUGGUAGCCACAUGUCAUCAACACAAUCAUUCUUAGAAUCCUUAGAAAAAUAUGUUAGUCCAUAUAAAUAUAUAAUAAGCUUUUUAUUAAACUAACCAUAAAGUAAUCAUAAAUUUACUUCAUUGUUUCCUUAAAUAAAAAUCACGGAAUUACCUAAUGUGGCUAAAGUAUAUAUGACAAUUAAUGAUUUUGAUUAAUAAUAAUUUGAUAAAAAAUUACUCUAUUCUCUAUCAUUUUUUAAAAAAUUUAACUUAUUAAAAUAAAUUAAACAACCAUAUUAACUAUAUAAUAAAAAUUUAGAUUUUUUCGUAUAUGCUAUAUUUUGAAUUUUUAAAAACGAAUCUAAAUGACUAAAGUUAUUAAAAAUCUCACAUUGAAAUUUUUGUGAUCCAUGGUUUAAAAUUUAUGUUAUAACAAGAUACAAAUGAUUACGAAAUUACAUAAGUAUGAAGUCUCAUUUAAUAAAUAUUUUAUAUAUAUGUAUAUUAAUAUUUUUUUAAAAUAAAAUAUAUACCAUAUAAAAUACAUAAGUAUUUUAAUUUCGAAUUUGCUUUAAAUUUUUUUGAUAAACAUUUUGAACAAUUAUUGAAAACUUAAUAUUUAGAUUUUAAACUUUGCAUUGAAUGUUUUUAAAAUUAUAAAUUACUAAAACUAUUAAACAUCUCACAAAUUUUUAUUGUUAUCAUUGAUUUAAAUUUUUUUUGUUAUAAAGAAAUACAAACGAUCAAAAAUAAUAUGAGUAUAAAAUAUUUUUUAACAGAUGUCAAUAUUAAAAAUGUACUAUAUAUCUAUGUUAAUAUCAUGUAAACUUAAUUUUAUAACGUAUAUAAAAUAGAAAAAUGGUUUGUCUCGAUUAAUAAAAUUUAUUUAAGUAUUUGUAUCAAUUUAAUUAUAUACGUAAUAGUUACUAAAUUUUUAAUUAUUCAAUAUAUAUUUAUUAUUUCAUAAUAUGUAAAAAAUAUAUAAUACUUAAAAAUAAUUUAUAUUUAAUAUUCAUUCCGCGCAAGGCGCGGAUCUUAACCUAGUAUAUUAUUAAAGUAGAAGUACUUUAAGCUUUUGUUUGGAAACAUGCGUAUUAGUAAAAAAUAAAUAUAAUGAUGUUUGGAAACAUUGAUAGCAGUAAGUUAGGAAAAAAUAAUAAUGGACUUAUGCUAUUAAAAAAAUUGGAAGUUCAUCAUAUUAUAUUAAAAAGUAAUGUACUUAUAUUACUUGAUAUACAUAUUCAAAUCAAAAUAAUAAUUUAAAAUUGAUUUAUUUCAAAAAUUCAUUAAAAAAUAUACACAUAUUCAAAAAUUCAUUUUUUACUAACAUAUUUUCCAAUAGCCACUAUAAAAAUAUUUUCAAUAUUUAUAAGAAAAAUACAAUACAAAGCCCAAUUUCAAACACCAACUUAAAUUAUGGUUUUUAUAUUUCACAUUAAAAUAUAAGAUAGAUAUAUGUGAUUAGUUAUAUGAUUGUACAAAUAAAAUAUUAUUAAUUAUAAGAUUACUUAUUUGAUGGUAUGUAUAAAAUACGAUUAAUUAUAUGAUAACACAUAUUUUUUGUAACCUAUGAUGACACAUAUAGGAUAUAUAAUAGUGAUUAGGGGUGGGCGUUCGGGUUCGCUUUCGUGUUUGUUUGGGAUUUCGUGUUCGGUUCAGAUCUUUGAAGAUUCGGUUCGGAUUUGGACAACCAAUUUAAAUUAUUUUAAAAAAUUUAAAUUUAUUAUAUGCUUUAAUUUUUUUAAAAAUCUAUAAACAAUAGAAUAUAUUAGAUAUAAAUUUGAAUAACAUAUGUCAGAGUACCUAACUUAACAUAUAAAUUAGUUUGGUUUAAAUAUUUAGAUAGAGAAUUAAUAAUUAUUUAAGUAUUUUUGAGUAUAUUUUAACUAUUUUAGAUAUUUACGUUUGAUUAUUUGUAUAUAUUUUCAAGUAUUUAAACGAACUUAAAGUAUCAUAUAUAUUCUGGAUGUUUUUAUAUAUAUUACAUCUAAAAAUGACUAAUAUAUAUAAAUAUAUAAAUCCACUUUGGAUACCCAAAAUAUUUUGGUUCAGAUCGGAUUAUGUUUCAGUUCUUCAAAUACUAAAAUUUUGAAUAAUUCAGAUAUUUAAUCAAUUUUGGUUCGAAUUUGGUACUACUUAAUCUGAUUGGGAUCGGUUCGGUUUUUCGAAUUCAAGUUUUUUGCUCAACCCUAAAUAGUGACAUAAAAAACAAAUAGCAUCAUAUUUUUUUAAAAAUACACCUGGGUCGAAAUCUAGUUAUAUUUUAUAAUUUGAUGUGUAAAAUAAUUAGAUUUUUUUUAGCUAAUUUUAUGAUUUGUAAAACAAAUAAACAAAUUUGACAUGAUAAAAAUAUAAAAAUAGUUUAAUUUUUAGCUAAAUGAUUUAAAUAUUGUAAAUAUAUUUAAAUUAUUUGUAUAUUUGUGCAUCUACCUUAUUGUAGGCUUAAUCCUAAUAGUUGAUAAAAGUAAUAAAAUCACAAUAGUGUAGUCUUCGCGAAUCUUGGAAGCAAACGGAUCGGGAGAAGAAGACGAACACCGAGGAACAAAGCACCAGAGAAGAUGAACUUUCCUUUCACGGAGGAACGAAACGUGGAUCCUCGAGCUCCUCUUAGAACCCUCUGUAAUCUUUCUUGUUGUAUAUGUUCUCUCUAGAUCCCACGAAGAACUUCUCUAGCUCGAACACCUUGGCUCUCAGCUUUGUGAACAACCACUUUUGUAUGUGUGUAAAAGACGAACGACAAACCCUUUUCAAUAGAUGGUCUUCACUUGAUUUGUUUGGUCUUGUUGUCGAAGUUGGCCCAGCUCACCUUGUCUCAAAUUUUUGAGUUUAAACCUAAAUGCUAAGGGUACGACGACGUUUUCCAACAUGUUUUGUAUCGAACUGCUUUUAAAUUGACUAAAUUUAACUUGGUUGUUGUUGAGCGUCUGGUUAAUAUCUUUUUUUUUUGUUUCAUUUUUUUUUCCAUUUUUGUUUUGUUUUGUCUUUUUCCUAUUUGAAUAAGUUGUUAAAAGGAACAGUUUUACAAUAGUGUAGUAGUUUAGUUUAACUCUUGUGACAAUACCAGAAAGCAAUCCUUCUAGAAGAAAAAGGAAAUGGACAAGAGUAUCAUAAUUUCUAUCAUAUUUACCAUUCAGUUUGACUGUAGGAACUUAGUUUGCAACAAACUCUUGAACUCACAAAAAGAGGAAGCUCAUUUUGCACUUCUUCCAAAGUGUUAAACAAAUAAAUAAUUCAUUUCUCGAAGACCAUCAUUUUAUGGGUUAUCAUAUAGUAAAGAGAAAAGCUUAUACAAACAAACAAUAAUAUCUCCAAAGUAAUAACACCGGAAAUCAAUCAAAUAUGAAUUCGAACUCAUCCCAACAAGAACAAAAACAACGAGCAGAUCAAGCAACUACAGAAACGCAAAUCUUCAGUCAUGUAUAUAUAAGAUAACAAAUUGCAAAUUGCAAAUAAAAACAACCAUAGCAUGCCAUGCUCUCAAUCUUUUUGCCAUGCUCUCUUGAGUUUUACUGAUACAUCCUUGAAACCUUUAAACUUUUAUUUGGAACCUUUCUCAGAGGGAGGCAAUACUGUGGACAUGUUGAGGUGCGAUACGGACAAAACAAUCACGCUGCUUUAAGAAUCCAUAAGAGCGUCUAAACUCUUUAUUGUCUCCAAUGCCUAGGAGCCUAACUCUUCUAACGUUUUGUGUUUUAACAUUGUAGUAAAAAAUGUAAAAGGGUCCAACCUCAGGUGACAAGCUGGUUGGAGCCAUAAUGAUCUCCCCAUCCUUGUUGGUUCCUGGAAAAGACAUUUCGAAGCCCCAAACAGAAUCCCACACGGAGGAGGGAAACACACAAUGUUGCUUUGACCAUUCAUGUUUCACGGGGUCUUCUAAUAUCCAUAAAUCAAAACUAUUGAAACGAUCAUAAGGGUAUCUCACAAUAGAAGCUAGCUUCCCAUUGUAAUCUAUAAAUAUGGAAUCCUUGCCCCACCGAAGGAGAGUCUCAUGUGCUUGGAUAAAACUUAGUUUCUCAGUUCUAACAUCAAAACACACCAUAACUGGAUUCCUAAAAUGGGGUGAGUUACGAGCACCAUAGUAGAUGACACCAUUGACGCAUACUCCCACUGAUAUCGGUCUAUAAGGUCCAGGGGUACCCUCAAUGAGUCUCCAUUCUUGACAUGAUCCUCCUCCCAAUGUUAACACCUUGUGGUCUAGAUGAUGAUGAACAGAAGAACGAGAGACUCUCGAUUCCACAAACAAUGCCUUAUGUUGACCUUCAAUCGGAUCAUAUCCCACGAAUCUGGUGGAACUGUGCAACUUUAUGACCUGCUCCGUGCUAGGGUUACACACCAUCAAGCCACCAUGAACGCCAACGGUGAGAAAGCCAUGGAGAGAAGCGAAAGACUCUCUGAUGGAACUCAGUCCCACUGGUAUUGCCAUCUCCAAGUUUGGUACCAAAGAAGAAGAAGAACAAGACUCCCCAAACGAGAAGAAGAAGGUGAGCUUCGCUUCAGGCUCAUUGCAUACACCGUUAGCCAAAGCGACUAUAAACCGUGAUUGCUUUGAGGACAUAGAGAAGAAGGAAUCGAUGAACCCUCUGCUUCGGAUGAUGGAAGACCAAAUUUUUGACACGCAUCGGAACUUCAUAAGAGACUUGGCACCCAUUCUACUCACUAUAGCCAUCUUUAGAUCGAAAGGGAGCGAAUCGAACUUACUACUUGGGCUUGUCUCAUUACCAUCCGCCUCCUUCUUGCGUUGAGGGAGUGCUUCUUGGUGGGUCGACCUCGCAGGCAAUCUAGUCACUCUAGCAGUCUUCAGAUCAACUGCAAUCGGACCUAUCUUACUUCGGCUCCUACACAACCUCUCCUCCUCUCGCUCCUUGCGUUUCAUGGUCGCCCAAAAACCCUAAAUUAGACCUGGAUUUGUGGGAAAUCGAACAGAACCGCAAAGACUUCUUCUUGGGGAUUAGACCAAAUCACAAAGACAUCGCCAGGUUCGUAUAGGAAUUAUUUGUCGGAAAUCAGAUAAAAUCCGUUCGAUGUACACAUGUUUAUAUUUAUAUUUAUACAAAUAUACAAUUUCCUUUUUUUUAACCCUUUUAUAUAUAUAUUUUUUUUUAAAAAACAGUUUCCUAUUUACUCCAAAAUCAAUUUUUUUUUUUUUUUGUCGGCUAUCCAUGUAAGCUAGAUCAAGUGGUGGCAGACGAGCCGAUUCUCCGAGGAGCAUCUCCGUCUAUCCGGGUCUGAUCUAUAUCGGAAAAAAUAUAUCCUCUGCUCCUGACUUCUUUUGCAAGCGUGUCCGCUCGACCAUUCCUACUCCGAGGAAUAUGAGACAAACUCACAUCCUCGAAGUUCUCAUGUAGUCUCUGAAACACCUCAAUCUCUGUCGCAAAAGUUGGCCAAUCCAUUGGAUUAGUAGUCAUGUCCACGAGAUCCGAGCAGUCCGUCUCGAACCGUAUUGAAGCUAUCCUCAUGUCUCUCAUACAUGAGGUUGCUCAAAGUAAACCUUCCAUCUCAGCAUGUAGAGCUGAGAGGGCCCUAUUGCACGCCCGUAAUCCAAAAUGUUCAGAACCCAUAUGAUCCUUCAGGCUCCACCCUAAGCCACUUACGCUACCAUUAUUGAUCCAUGACGCAUCAAUUUGACAGGUAGGGAUUCGGGGUAUCCAAGGAGGCACUAUCUCGACCUCUGAAAUAGGAGGAUCGUCAUGGUCCUCGUUUGCUUCCUCUUUUUCAUUAGCCUUCCUCCAACAUUCUGCCUCAAGGGACGCAUGUUGGAGAGUAUCAACCGGAGAUACGACUUUUCCAUUAAAGAAUUUGUCGUUCCUCGCCUUCCAAAUGUACCAACAGAUCCAUGGAAAGGUAUCGAAUUGUGGUCUCAGUGGAGCCACUUCUUUUCUCUUCCAAAACAGAAAGUUCAUGUUUUGGUAUAUAGAUGUACUCGGGAAGUAACCCGGAAGGGACAGAUAGUCCGAUAAAGCCCAAACCUGAAGGGCAGGGGGGCAUUCAAAAAGAAGAUGAUUAAUCGACUCCAAUGGGUCAGCACAUCUAGGACAACUCCUAUCGGUGCCCAGGUGCCUAUACGUGAGCCUUUCUGCCGUCGCCACAAAGCCCGAUAUAGCCUGCCACAAGAAAUGUUUCAUCUUGCUCGGGGCCUUUAGCUUCCACACAUGGCUCUGGAGGCUCGUGAUACUCGGUUGUAUAACGCCUUCUUGUGUACUCAGCUUGAUUGAUUGGAGUAGGUCGUAACCGGUUUUAACUGAAUACAUUCCUGAUUUUGUGUGAUUCCAAACAUAUCCAUCUGGGACAAGAGAUCGAGAUGGUUUUAGCCCAAGUAUCAAAGUGAUAUCAUCCGGGUGAAAGAAUUCUCGUAAAAGCUGGAUAUCCCACUCCUUAGUAUCAUUCCUAAUAAAGGACCGAACAAGAAGUUGGGGUAGUCUGUAAACAAUGUGGUCAGCAGGUCUAGGUGGUCGAGCCACUGAGUCUGGAACCCAAGCCUCACUCCAAACCCUCGUAUCUCGCCCUGUUCCAAUCGUUUUCCGUAAACCCGUAAUGAGUAGAGGCCUUGCUGCAAUGAUACUGCGCCAUCCAUAUGAUGGUGAGUAUGUUCGUCGAUCUUCCAAAGGAGAGGUAUGAUUGUAGUACCUUCCUUUUAAAACACGUGCUAACAAAGAGUUCGGGUACUGAAUUAAUCUCCACAAUUGUUUUGCAAGAAGCGCUAAAUUGAAGUCGUGGAUAUCUCGAAAACCUAGUCCCCCCCCCGAAUCUUUGGGGUUACAGAUCUCGUCCCAUGCUAUCCAAUGCAAACCUCUGCUAUUUUGUUUUGAGCUCCACCAAAAAUUUGAAGUUGUGCUCCUUAGUUUAUCGGUAAUGCCUUGUGGAAGCAAGUAACAUGACAUCACAAAAGUCGGAACUGCUUGGGCCACAGAUUUAAUCUGGACCUCUUUUCCUCCUUUGGAGAGGAGUCUAGAUGACCAAGUGUUGGCUCGCCCAUUUAUACGAUCUUGUACAAAGGAGAACACUUUCAUUUUUGAGCCACAUAUUUGUUCGGGUAAACCAAGGUACAUCCCCAUGCCUCCUUCAGAAGAGAAGCCAAGGACUUCUUUUAUAUCUUUCUUCAGAGCCAACUCCACUCUGUUUCCAAAAAACAUCGAGGAUUUUGACGCAUUAAGUCGCUGUCCUGAUGCCUUCCCAUAUAUUUCUAGAAUGUCCAUGAUCUCCUUGCAUUGGCUUAAUUCCGCCUUACAGAAGAAAAGACUGUCAUCUGCGAAUAGAAGAUGGGAGAUCCUUGGGCUCGCCCUAGCAACCCGAAGGCCUUCAAUCUUCUUUUCCGCUUCUGCUCCGUUCAAAAGUGAGAUCUACGCUUCCGUACACAUGAUAAACAAAAAAGGGGAGAGGGGAUCUCCUUGUCUCAAACCUCUCCUAGGUAAGAUUCGCCCUCUUGGUUGCCCAUUGACUAAAACUUGAUAUGUGACCGACGUGACACAACACAUAAUGAGAUCAACCAGUCUUUCAUCAAAGCCCAUCUUUAACAUCAAGGCUGCUAGGAAAUUCCAUUCCACUCUCUCAUAAGCUUUGCUCAUAUCUGUUUUAAUAGCCAUAAAAUCACUCCUACAUCUCUGGUUCGUCCUUAGAGCGUGAAAGUUCUCUUGUGCUAUCAAGAUAUUGUCAGUAAUCAAACGUUUUGCCACAAAGGCAGAUUGUGUCUCUGAGAUCAAGUGCGGGAUAACCCUCUUAAGUCUCUUACAUAGUAGCUUAGAAAUAAUCUUGUAGCUAACAUUACAGAGACUGAUAGGUCUGAACUCAACAAUAUCCCGAGGUUUCUUCUUUUUCGGAAUGAGGCAGAUAUUUGUCUGGUUCAAAAGUGGGUCAAAACUGCCUGUCGCAAAGAAGUCUUGUACAAGUCUAAUAAUGUCUUGACGCAUCUCACGCCAGAAUUUCUGAAACAAUUUACUGGUCAUGCCAUCCGGUCCGGGUGCUUUAUCCGGGUUGAUGUCGAAGAGAGCUCUCCUAAUCUCCUGUUCCGUGGGUUCCUCCAAAAGUAACCUAUUAUCGGCAUGAGACACCUUUUCAGAAAUGAACCAGAGGGAGGUGUCUAGCUCUGUCGGCGAAGAGGUAGAGAAAAGGUCUCGAAAGUAUUGAACAGCCACGUUCUCCACCUCGAUUUCACUCUCUACCAGCCUCCCAUGUUUAUCUUUGAUACUGAUGAUCCUAUUGUGGGCUCUCCGUUGUUUUGUAAUGGCAUGAUGAAAUUUUGUGUUUCUAUCCCCAUCUCUAUACCACUGAUCUCUAUUUUUUUGUUCCCAAAACUUGUUUUCUUCUCGAAAGGCCAAAAUUAAUUGUUUUCUCAAAUCCUCCAAUUCUUUCGUUGUAGAGUUUUCAUCAUCUUGUGACAAGUCUAUCUUAUGUUUUAACUCUUUAAUAAAUAUAUCAGAGUUCAUUGGAUUUUGCUUCUUCUAAGAACUGAUUUUAUUUCGGCAUGAGGUAAUUUUUUGAUGAAAAUUUCGGACUGGAAUUUCCUCAAACUGUCCCCAUCCCGAGAUUACCGCUUCCUUGAAACCUGGUUUUCCUAUCCAUCUUUUGUCAAAUCUGAAGCUCUUCCUUGUCCGCCUAACAUUAGAUUGAAUGCGUGCCAAGACCGGUCUGUGAUCCGACCCCCAUAGUUGUAAACAUUCUACAAUGGAAUGGGUAAAUAAGGCGUGCCAUUCUUCAUUUGCAACUGCUCUAUCAAGUUUGCAUUUAACUUUCCCGGAUCGUCUUUUUCCCACCCACGAGAAUGAGUUUCCUUUAUAUGGGAAGUCAAGCAUUCCACAAUUUUCUAGCAUGAUACGGAAAGGGAGAAAAGAGCUCUCUAAACGACGCCUUCCUUCCCUCUUCUCAUGAUUUCCGGUGAUCUCAUUGAAAUCUCCAAUCAUAAAACAUGCUCCACCUCGGUUGGUACUCAUGCGUGACAAUCUUUCCCAAACUAGGUCUCGAUGUCUAACAACAGGGUCCCCGUACACAAAGGUCAUAAAAAUCGCGUGUCCUUCAAGUCUAGUCUCAAUAUCAAUCAUAUGCGCAUCCGUAUAUAAAAUAGUAACCGACCGACGGGUCAUCCAUAUAAAAAGUGCAAGUCCACCACUUCUACCAACAGGGUCAACAGUAAAAACAUGAUCAUAUCCAAAAGAUACUUGCACAUCUUGCAAAAACCUCCGAUUGUUCUUAGUCUCAGAAAGAAAUAAAAACUUAGGUAAAAAACAAUGAAACAACUCAUGUAGAUGCUCCUUAGUCAAGUCGGCUCCCGCCCCUUGACAAUUCCAUGCAAUUGUGUUCAUCCUGGAAUUUUUGGUGGUUUAUUACUUCCCACCUUGGCUGAUUUUUUAAUGUUCUUCGGAAACAUCUCUGCUUUUUCAAUAUCACUUGGAACUUGAGUAUAGGCUGUAGAGAGACCCUUAUGGAGUUUUGGCCUAUUCUUUGAAACUUUUUGCUUUGAUGAAGUCCGGCCCACCACAAGGUUUCUUUGUCUGAGAGAAACGCCAGUAGCGAUGGGGCUUGGAGAACCUCUUUUCUUCUUCGCCGGAGAUGGACGCGAACUGGAGGAAGGCGUCUGAGUAGAACGAGAAUCCGAGCGGUGAUCUGAUCGAGCAUGUGGGCUUGUUUUCUCAGAAAAUUUAUUGCUUUCCUCCAAAGCAGAGAGACCAUCAAUCGCCAAUUGCUUCGACACUUUCGCAGAGACGAUCAACGCCUCCUCCUGUUCCAUAUCUUCAAUUAGCAAGUCAUCUUCAUCCAUCAGGUCAUCAUCAUCAUAGUUAACCUCAUUAACCAUCCAAUCUUCAUCCUCUAAGAUUUUUUCAGCAUCGGGAUCCUCCACUGUCUCCAUCGUCUUCUCCACAGGCAUGUCAGUUUUGUUAAUUAUCUCUUGAUUCAGAAUCUCUUCUUCUUCUAGAGUCUGCUCAUACCAGCUCUUUUCUUUUUCUUUUACAGGGGGGAUUAGCAGCGGGGCGUCUUGUGGAUUGUUUAGGGGAAGGAGCUUCUCAUCGUUGAAAUUUAAGCUUUUUAUUGCAGAGCUUCCUUCGUCAGAUGCGAUUUCCAAGUCAGACUCUUUCCCUUUCAGCUUUUGAUUUGCUGAUGAUCUCUUUUGAAGGUUAAGCUUAAAUGGCCUUUCUCUUACAUGUUCUGGGGAUGAAGUUCUGAUGCUUUCUCGUUGAGGUUCCUCAGUCACGGGUUCAAGCGGGGCAGUAGGGAGAGCAGGUUGUUUCGCGCGAGAGGCUGAGGGGAGGUGCUCUUCCUCAGAGAUUUUCUUAGAAGGUAAAAUUUUGCUCGUUGCUUUCCGUUCUUCUACUCUUUGUCUACUUGAGGCAAAAGAUUCCUCAUAUCUUCUCUUGUUGUAAGUUUCUUUUUGGUGUGGCUGCUUUUCUAGUUCACGAGGAGCAUGAUGGUGGUCUCGGCGGGGAUUCUCUCUAGAAGCAUUACGGGAGUCAAUGCGUUUCCAAACGCUGUCCCUGUUGUCUCUUUGAGAGUAAUCUCCCGGUCGCCUUUCUUGCAGCACAGGAGCCUUUGAAUCAGGUGCUCUCGAUCUCCUUGAGUUCUCGCCAUUCCUAUUUGCCUCAUUUCUGGAGUAUAGACCUUGGUCUCUUGUUAACUCUUUCUCUUUAGUGAGAUGUUCUUUAUGUUCAUCAGAUAGCUGGGGGCAAGUUUCGACUUCAUGAGAUAGGAGGCGGCAGUUGUGGCACCAGCGGUGGAGGUUUGAGUAUUCUAGAGAUACAGGGACGAUUUCACCCGAGGGUAGUUGGGCACGGAGAUUAACCUUCAAGGGAAGCUCUGCAUACAGCUCCAGCUCAAAUUUUGCUGCCUUUGCUUCCACAUUUCCUACUAGCCCGAGUCUCUUCCCCAGUGCUCUGAAGAUUGGGUCAAGCCAAAAGUGUGUCGGGAUACCAGUGACGCUAACCCAGAAAGUCAUCUUGUUAGGGAAUGAAUGGCCUAUGUGGGGAGUCCAGCGUUCCAAAGCGAAAGACCACUUGUUGAAAUGGCAUGGACGUUUGCUUAACACCUUAUGAAGGUCCGCUUCUGAAUCAAAGUCAAAUUGAAACCUAUAGUUCCCUAAAUCCACACCUCUGGCUCUACCUUCCACAUCCCAGAUACUAGGUCUAGGCAGGAGAGCAAUGAGGGCUUCAACACUUCGUCGCUCUUUCUUGAAGAGCCUACCCACUAGGCUGAGUUGGUAGCGAGCAAUGAGCUCAGAGUUGUCGACGUCGGGAAGGAUAACCAAGUCAUCAUCUUCCUCUUCAUGCGGUUCCUUAUUGUUCAAGUUGAGGUUGUUACUUGGUUGAGACAUCCUUUGGGUCUGAGAAAACUCUAAGCUUGAGAAUAAGAGGUCUUGGAGGAAACUUUAAAUGAGGAGCAGAAGCACCGUUUGCAGAUCUGGAGAAAACACCGGUAAGGUCUUCCUAUUGUAGGAGCUUGGACUUAACAAAGGAGAUAUAGCAUGGAGGAAAAUUGUAGGAUUACAGCUUUGAAAGACUCUAGUCAGAACCGAGCUAAACGCAACGGUCUGAAGAGAGUGUCAAACUGUACUGAGUUGAGAUGUUGAAAGCAUUUCUUUGGUAAGAGGUUUCCAUCAGACUGUUGAAAGAUUCCAUGACUUGAGAUUUCCUUGGGAGUUUAGGACGAGAGAAGCACCGGUGAAAAGUGAAGAAUUUUUUAAAAAGUUAUGAAAAUGUCGCCGGAAAGAAGUAGAUCUAAAUCAAACCACCGUCCGUACGAGGUUUAGAAGGAGGGGCUCCAUUCUCGAGAAAGUGGUUGCGGCUUGCUUUGAUACUCGGGCCUGGGAGCAUUUGACUUUUGGACCCUCAGACUUCAAAGUACUAAACAUGCAUUUUCAAAAAUUUAUUUUUUAGAUGAAUUUAUUCUCUCUAAUAGAUCACACCAAAAUAUGUGGGCUGUCCAUGGAACUAAACCAGUCCACAUCUCUAAUGGAUCACACCAAAAUAUAAUAUGGAAUAAAUUAACUCUAUCCUAAUGAUUUAUUAGUCAAAAACGGGAAAAAAUUGACUAUAAAUCUGUCUAAAACUACAAUAUAUUCAAACAUUUUUUUUUGAAAAACAUUUAUACUAAAAAAUCAAAUUUUUGUAAAAAAAAAUCAAGUAAAAUUGUUCAACUUAUAAAACCCAAAAAGAAAAAUUCAAACUUCAAAUUUUUUUUUAUGUUUUCUUAAAAAUUUUAUAAAACCAAUUAAGAUUUUUUAUCUUCUUUUUUCUAUAAAUCCUGACCAGAAAAAACUGUAAAAUUUUAUUUAAUAGUAAUUAUUAAUUAAAAAUUAAUGAUAAACAUGAUAGUAACAAUUAUUUAGUUGUAAAGAAAAAUUGUAAAAAAUAUUAUUGAUAUUAAAAACACGAAUUUUGAAAACGGCAACUUUUAAAAAUAGUUAAUAUUAACUGAAAAUAAUUAUUUGAUAGAAAUUUUAUAUUUCAAAAUCCUAGACAAAAUAUCAUUGUAAAAGAUUAUGUAAUUUUAAUUUCCUUUUCUAAAAUCCUAAAAACUGUAAAAGAAUAUUUUUUUUCCUUUUUUAUAAAAAAAUUCCUAAACAAAAGAAAUUUGUAUCAUAUUUUCAAGUCCUAACCAAAAGAGAAUUGUAAAAAUUUAUUUGAUAAUAUUCUUAAGAGAGUAUUUGGUGAUGAACAUGAUACUAAAUAUUAUUUAAUUAACAAAAGAAGUUUAAAAUUAGUACGAUACGAAUUGUAAAUAUAUUUAUUUAAAAUUAUUUAUUAAUAACUAAAAUAAUUAUUUGAUAGCAAUUUAUUUUUUCUGAAAUUCUAAAGAGAAGAUAAUUGUAAAAGAUUAUAUGACAAUAAUUGUUCUAGGUUAUAUGACAAUAAUUGUUCUUUUUCUAAAAUCUUAAACAAAAUUGUAAAAAAGUAUUUAAUAUUAUUUUUAAUUUUAAAUAAAUAAGAAAUUUAUAAAAUAGAAUGUUUUCUUUUUUUAAAAAAAUAAUAGCAUAAUAAAAAUUUAAAGACUUAUUUAAUAAAACAUUAAAUUAGUACAUAAGAACAUGUAUAAUGUUGUUAGUGACUCGAUUGGUGUAUUUGACUUUCAUUUUUUUUUCAUUCAAUUUUUAUUUAUUUUGGGUUGUGUUCAGUUUAAACGUUAGUAUUUUCUCUAAUCCUAAGUACAAAUUUUAUAACAAUUCAUCUAUGCAUCAUAAUUAUAAAAUAUAAAUAUUAACUUGAACUUAUGUGUGAAAACAGAUUUUAAUUAUAAAACAAAUCUCAAACAACAUAUGCAAAAAAAUAAUCAUAAAACUAGGGGUGGGCACUUUACCCGAUAUCCGAAGUGGCACCCGAACCCGAUCCGAAAAUACCGAACCGAAAUCCGAACCGAAGUAGCAAAAUACCCGAACGGGUAUUGAAUAAGGAGAGAUUGGAUACCCGAACCCGAACGGAUAAUACCCGAACCCGAAUGGAUAUCCGAAUAUAACCGAACAUAUGUAUAAUUAACCUUAUGUUUCUAGUUUAUAUCUCUCAUUUUAUAUAAAAUAUUUAUAUUGAUACUACACAUAAUUUAAGUUCAUAUGAUAUACAUACAAUUACGGAAAAAUGAUUUGCUACUCACUUAAAAUGCAUGUCAAGUUUUUUAUUUCAAAAAUUAACAAAAAGUUAUAUCCAAAAUUAAAAAAAAAAACUAAAUUAGUGCCUUUUUAGUUUUAAAAUGUUAUGUCCAAAUCUAUUAACCAUUCAAUCUAUUAAAAAUAAAAAAUUAGUUAACUAAAAGUUAUAUUUUUAAAUACAAUAAACUUGAGAAAUGAAAAUUUUAAUUUUUUUUUUUCAAAAUCUAAAUAUCCGAACCCGAUCCGAAAUAACCGAAUCCGAACUAAAAAUACCCGAACCCGACCCGAAGUACAGAAAUACCCGAACGGGUUCUAGACCUCUAUACCGAAAUACCCGAAAAUCCGAAAUACCCGAUCCGAACCCGAACGGGUACCCGAACGCCCACCCCUACAUAAAACUAUGAUAAAAUAAUUUAUUAUUUUAUGGUUUUUAUUAAAUCAAAACAUUAAACAAAAAGGCUCAUAUCUUGUAUACUAUAUGAUCUAGUAAUUAGUAAAAGUUGAAGCAUAUAUAGCUUUUUUUUACCGAGGAGGCAAGACAGAAUCUAACGAAGUAAACACAAUCUAACGAAGGACACGUGGGGCGACGUAACUGGUCGUGAAAACGAGAACUCACGAGAAAGAUAUUAGUCGAUUUGACUUUGUCUUUGUAUCAUAAAUCUUCUUCGUUCGAUCUCAGUGGCUCUGCGGCUUCUUACGGUAUGAUGCCAAAGGAUUGUAAUCUGGUGGAUGAAUAUUUGAAGUUUUUUUUUUUUUGUUUUUGGUUUCGGGCAACUCUUUCUUCCUUUGGAUCUGGAAUCGAUAGCCUUUCUGGGGGUGACGACGCUGAGUUCGAAGGUUUGAUAUAUUUCUUUUUUUCGAUGAUUGAAAUAAAUACCCUUUGCUCAAUUUCUUCUUCUCUGGAAUUAUAUUGAAAACCCGUUUGGAAAGUCCUCGCCUUUCUAGGUUAUUAUUAUUCUUGACGAUUGUGAAUUUGAAUAAAUUAGGGGUCUUAGAUCCAUCUUGCUAUAUGCUUAUAGAGCCAAUUGAUUGAAUCAAUAUAGUUCGAACUGCUGAUGCGACUUUCACACACAACUCUUUUGUUUCAAUUGUAGAGGAGGGUGUAUGUGAUAAUGAGUUCAGGACCAGGGAAUUUCUGUCUGGUCCACGUCAGCCUCGUGCCUGUGCUUAAUGUUGUUGGUGAACAGGUCAAUUAUACUACUUUGGUUUUCCGCAGCCAUGAUGUUGACACCAUUUGAUUCUGUUAAACCUCAUUUUGCUUUGUUGUUUUCUUUCAGAAACCAAACCGGCACAGCAUAGUGUCCUGAGGUUUGGGCUUGACACAGAUAUCUCUUAGCUUGUCGGAGCACAAAGAACUAUUGGAAAGAACAAAAUCGAUAUCACUGCCCCUGUAAUAGCCUCACAUCCCCUCUUUCUUUAUUUGCUUUGUUUUAUGCUAAUAAAUUUUAUCUGAAAGGCCCUUUUUGUUCUAUCUUCCUGGUGCAGACUGGAGCACAAAUCAUUUACGCCAAAUACUCAGGAACCGAGGUUGAGUUCAACGAUAUUCUCAAGGAAGAUGACAUCGUUGGCAUUCUUGAGACAGAGGACAUCAGAGAUCUCAAGCCCUUGAAUGACUGACUCUUCAUUAAGGUUCGCCUCUUGUGCUUAUGUCAAAAAUCAUUUUUAUAUUAUAAAUUAUUACAUAAUAUGUGUUAAAAAAAGAAGAAGAAGAUAAUCAGCUAACACAAUUCUUCUUAAACUUUAUAUAUUCUUAAAUUAUUAACAACCAGAAAAUAAAUCUAGUGUCUACUUAAACCUCAUUUUGCUUUGUUGCUUUCUUUCAGAAAACUAAAACCGGCACAGCAUAGUGUCCGAGGCUUGGGCUUGACACCAGAUAUCUUAGCUUGUCGGAGCACAAAGGUUUGUCUCUCAUCUAGAAAUUUUGAGUAUCUUGUGUGUUGUUUAUCUUCUAUUUCGGAUACAAAAUUCUCAAAUCCUUUUCUUCAUUAAGGCAUUUGAAGAGAAUGUAAAAGAAAAACUAGCUCCAGUUUUGCGAUUGUCCCGGCGGUAAGAUGCUGCUACCUUUUGUUCCUUGUUGUUAUGUCCUCUAUUUACUUGAAAUCUCUUGUUAAUAUUACCAGCUUAUGGUUGUUGUUUCAGCUUGAGCAUAUCUUCACUCUCUUUGAUGCUCCCAACAUUUGGCACAUUCCUAUUUUGCUAGGUACCUUUUCUUCAACUAAGUUGCAUUCUUAGUCGCUAUGCUAUUCGUCUAUUAAAAAUCACCAAGACAACAAUGCUCAUUGCACAUACUUCCUUGAACAGGAUCAGAAGUCUCACCUUGCAAUCUCAAAAGUGCUCAAUCUUACUAGGUGUGUAUUUAUACAUCUUGUUUUUGCCUUUUGGUGUUCUUGAUAUGUUGUUUGGUGGGUUGGAUUCCUGAUGUAAAUCUCAAACCAACAUCACAUGUAUGCUUUUUACCUGUUCACAAGUUUUAAACUAGAAUCAUGCUUUUUUAUUCUGUGUUUGAGCAUAAUCCAGAUGCGUAUAAAGCUGCUAAAGGUUUGAGGAUGUAUUCCCUGCAACGCAAAUGCAACAGGUAUAUUCUAUAUCUAAAUGUCCUAUUUUGAAUAAUGACAGAAAGAUUCGUGUGGACAUCACUGAUGGUUUCUAUAUGCAUUGUUCUUGUCUCAGGAGCCUAGAAAAGAUAAUAUUGGAAGCUGUAAUGAUUACAUGUUGGUUGAAAGUAUUGGAGGUCAGUAUUGUGACCGUCUGUCUCAUUAUGCUUUUACAGAUAAAGAUAGGUAAAUAAAAAUAUUAGUAUGAAACAGUAUUAUUGGUUGGGGAGGGGUUGUUUAAACCUUUGGAGAAGUUUUGGGGUUUUUUAAAUCCUUUGGAGAAGUUUUGGGGUUUUUUUAAAACCUUUUCUGAUAUUUCCCCUCAGUCUAUAACCUGAGUGAGUCUCAUUCUCUUCCCUCGUCAAAUUUUUCUAGGGUUUUGUUGAGAGAGGAGAGCAAGAGCAAGAGCAAAUAUGGCGGCACCAAAUCCAGCAAAUAUGGCGGCGGCACCAAAUCCUCCACUAGGUAUGGUUGAUUACGGAAACUUAACUGAUUAUUAUGGAACAGAAACGGAAAGCUGAUUUUAGAAAUGCAUCUAGGUGACGAUAUUUAUAUUUACGGAAAGUUGAUCUGCGCAUUUAUUUAGAAAUUGAUUUUAGAAUAAGCCGAUUAUGGAACAGAUACGGAUUUUGCUGCUUUGGCGUAUUUGAUUUUGAAAUGAAGCUGAUUUUAAAAAUUCAUCUAGGUGACGUUAUUUACGGAAAGUUGAUCUGUGAAUUUAUUUAGGAAUUGAUUACAGAAGAAGCUGAUAUGAUAUUUGCCUUUAUUGUUUGUGUCUUUAUCAUUAGUGGUAUGGAGCUGAAGUGAUCGUUCUGGUCUUGAUAUUGCCUUGAUAUUUUUAUUUUCAGAUCUCCCUGAUUAUGUACGAUUUUCUCCCAAGAGUCCUGAAGUGAUCCUUUUGCUCAAGCGUUUCAUACGGAAGGAGCAGAUGCCUACUUGUGCUGUACAGUUUCAUUCCCAUGCAGAUCUCCAAGACACAGUAUCUAGUAACGGGUGGAGUGCAGCAGCGUAUCCUUAUUUUGAAGAAGAUGAAUACUGGUUUUUUCUGCAUAGGAAACAACAAGCCACGGAUAAGAAGAAUGUUGAUAGAAGGCUUGGAGACUUGGGGACAUGGAAGGCAAGGGGCAGGAGUACUAACAUCUACAUUGGUGCGCAGCUGGUAGGCAUCAAACAGAAGUAUGAACUAAUGAAAGGCAAAGUUAAAACUGGAUGGUUCCAAUUCGAGUACACAAGGUUUUCCAACAAGUUCGAGAAAAUCUGUGUAGCCCAUCUCAUCUUUGUCAAGAAGCCUGAAGUGGAUUAUCCUUCUGAUAUCAGUGAAGAAGAAGAAGAAGAAGAAGAAGAAGAACAAGAAGAAGAAGAAGAAGAAGAAGAAUCUGCUGAUGAGGAAGAGCAGGGUUUGCAGGUACAGGCUCCUGAGGUUGAACUUGUGAAUGAGCAGCAGGGUCUGCAUGAGCAGGUGUUGAACUUGGAAGAAGAAGAAGCUGCUGCUUCUGAUGAGGUAGAGCAGACACUUGCAAAUGAGCAGCAGAGGUUGCAGCAGGUGCAGUCUCAUGAGGUUGAACUUGGGAAUGAGCAUCAGGGUCUGCAGGAGCAGGUGGUCAACUUUGCUCAUGAGGAAGCGCUGACAUUUGUGAAUGAUUUUCUGGACGAUGACGAUGACGAGGACUGGGCUCGCUUCUUGAACACUGACGAUGAUGGUCUGGCGAUUGAUGACUUGUUCGAAGAUGGUGAUUCAGAAAAGACGCUAGAACAUGUGAACGAGCAGCAGAGUCUGCAGGAUCAGGUGCUGAACUUGGAAGAAGAAGCUGCUGCUGCUGCUGAUGAUGAGGAAGAGCAGACACGUGUGAAUGAGGUGGAGCAGCAGGGGGGGGUUGCAGGUACAUCCUCAUGAGGGUGAACUUGGAAGAAGCAGCUGCUGAUGAUACGUGGACUCGCUACUUGAACACGAUGUUUGAUGAGUUAUUGGGAGAUGAUAAUUCAGAAAGACACUAGAAGAUUAAAUGAAGCUUCAUGUCGUUGAACUUGCUAUGUUUUGUCCUGAGACUUCUCUUUUGUUUUGUCUUGAGACUUCUCUUAUGUUUUGUCGUUAGACUUCUCUUUUUGGAAACAGCUUUUACCACGUAACUGCAUAUCUUCUACCUCCAGAUUAGUGGUACUGAGAAAUUAGCUUGCAUUCAGAAACUUGAGCUAUAGAGAAUUGCAUCACUUCCUUAUAUUGAUCUGUGUGGAUAAACUUUGCCAUUUAGUGUAAUCUUGAUGUCAGAUCAGAACAAGGCCGGAGCCAAUGGAAACAGGAAGGAGCCUGUUGUGAGAUGUGCCAAUCUACUUAACAUGCACGUAACAUGAUGAGCCAAUAUGAUACAAAAAAAAAUUAAAAUAGUUUCAAAUUUCUUUUUGACUUUAAAAUAAACUUUAGAAAAUUUUUUUUUUUUUUUUUGAAAAAAGAAGAAGAAAAAAAUCAAAUUCAAAAACGUAUUAUUCAUCAAACUCUAAUUAUUUAAGUAAUAGUGUAUGUGUUUUCUGCAACUAUUCAUCAAACUCUAAUUUUUUUUUUACUUAUCACCAAUUACGCCGUUAAGAUAUUUCUUUAUCGAGAUUUGUAUAUCUGAUUAGAUCUGAUAUGAUCGGUUCAAUUUUUAACUAGUUUUCCUAUUAUCUAUCUAUACUAUUAUUUGCGAAGUAAAUUUUUGGAAUCGAGCUUUCACGUUAAAAGUUAGACUGGUUAAUGUCGUUGUUACCCUUAAUAAAUUGCUAUAUAUAAUCUAUACUAUUAUUUGCGAAGUAAAUUUUUGGAAUCGAGCUUUCACGUUAAAAGUUAGACUGGUUAAUGUCGUUGUUACCCUUAAUAAAUUGCUAUAUAUAAUCUAUACUAUUAUUUGCGAAGUAAAUUUUUGGAAUCGAGCUUUCACGUUAAAAGUUAGACUGGUUAAUGUCGUUGUUACCUUUAAUAAAUUACUAUAUAUAAUAAUUUAGUUAAAAACAAAUUUUAUAUUAAUAAUAUUAAAUUUCUAAGAAGAUAAUUCUCAUAUAUUUUGUUGUUAUCUUGAAAUAAUAUUUUAUAUUUCUAAAAAAUAAGAUAAUACUUAUAUGUUGUGUUGUUAUCUUUAAAUAAUAUUUUUAUAAUAAAAGUUAAGAUAUAAAAUAGUAUAUAAUUAAAUAUUAAUGAAGAAAAAACAUUUGUAUAAAAAUAUAGUCUAAAACAUUUCUAAUAUAUGAGUGUUUUGAAAAUUUCAAAACAAUAAUUAGUAUAUAUAUUUUAAUGAGAUUUGCUGUGAUAUACAAAUUAUUUUAUGGUUUGUAUAAACUUGUUAAGAAUAUAAAUAAUAACUUAACAUGUUGUUUUUAAAUUAACAAAUUAUAAAAUAAUAAAUAUCUAUAAGAAGAUUAUGCCCGCAUGUGCGGGCAAGACACCUAGUUUGUACUUAUACUUAUUAAAUAUAUAUCAUGUCUAAAAUCAAGAAAUUAAAUAACUAAUCUAUUAUUUUUUGAAACUAACAUAUUCAGUUUAUAUUAAUACAAAAUUAACUAACUAAUCAAGUAUAUUUUAUUUAUUAGUAUAAUAAAUAAUGAUCUAUGCCUACUAAUUCGUAUAUAUACAUGUAUACAUUAAAUCCAAAUACCAAAAACAAAUACUUUAAAACCCUCACCAAAUACAUAAAAAUAUAAUUCUUAUAGUUAGAGUAUUAAGAUUAGUUAUACAUAUAUAAAUUUAUUUGAUAAAAUAAAUAAUAAUAAUUAGCUACUAUUAAUGUUUAAUACAUUAUGGAACAUACUAUUAUUAAUAUUUUUAUGAGUAUAGUUUUUAAGGGUUAUUCAAACAAACAUGUAAAAUAUUUAUCAAAUAUAAACUAACUGAGCAAAACAUAAAACACAUUUUAAGUUAAACUUGGACGUUCAUAUACCUGUUGAGAUACAGAUUGGACAUUUUGUGUGUUCGGUUCUAAUUUAUAUUACAUCUAAGAUCUCAUGUUGGUAAAUUUGUACGUACGGAUCGGUUUGGAUAUAACACAUCGGUUUUGGUUCUAAUUUGUAUCACAUCCUAAACCCCAUAAAGUAACUAUAUAUCAUUCAGAUUCGCGUUAUAUGGUUUCAGUUCGGGUAUAUCUGAAGUUUAAUCCAAAAUUUAAAAGAAACCAUAAUAAAGAAAUAAUUAUUCAUAUAUAACUGGAUAUUUAAGGUACUUAUUUUAAUACUUAUUUUUAGAUAUUACUUCAAAAUAAAUAUAAGGUUGAAUAUUUGAAGUACAUAUUUAUGUUUCAAAUAUUUAUAUUUUUAUUAAUUUAGAAUCGAUUUUCAAGAUUCGGAUUUUUUGAUUUUUUGGGUUACCUAUUCGGCUUCGAGUAAUAACACUUCAGAUAUGUUUUGUAUCACCUACAAGAACCAUUAUGGUAUUUCUUAUAUUUCAAGCCGGGUAAGGAUCGGAUUUUUGGUUUAGGUUCAGUUUUGAUUUUGGAUUUUGGAUUUUAUGCUCAUACCUACUUUAAAUAAAGAAAAAUUGUGAUUAUAUAAAUCUAGCCUAUAAUAUUAAAACAGAAGUCAUGACUUAGUUCAUGUGUGAUUUUUUUAUUUGGACCACCUCUUAGAAAGUUGCUUUAACUAUAUUUUGUAUAAAUAUAUUAAUAUUCUAAAACAAAAAAUUAAAUAAAUAUUCGUAUAUUUCUGAAAUUGCAUCUGAAUAUAAUUUUUCAUAUCUUUUUAUUUACAAUAUAAAUAUAUAUUUUUUAUUUUUCAUUAAAAUAAGGGAAUUACCAAAAAUACCAUUUUUAAAGUACCACUUUUCAUGUUUACACUAACCACUUUUACCUUUAUCUUUAAUGAAUGGUAAAAGACAUUUAUAAUAUUUUGAUUAACUUUGACAAAAAAAAAACAUAUGGUUAACUAAUCUAAACUUAAAACAUCGACUAUAAAUCCUAAAUCUUCAACUCUAAACCCUAAAUCAUCAAUUCUAAACCUUAAAUCAUGAAACAUCAACUCUAAACCCUAAACUCCGAAACAACAACUCUAAACCCUAAACCUUCAAAUUUAAACCCUAAAACAUCAACUCUAAACGCUAAACCCUAAAUCUAAACUUAAAACAUCAACUUUAAACCCUAAAUCAUCAACUAUAAACCCUAAACCACGAACUAUCAACUCUAAAUCCUAAACCCCGAAACAUCAACUCUAAACCCUAAAUCCCGAAACAUCAACUUUAAACCCUAAACUCUAAACCUUCAAAUCAAAACCCUAAAACAUCAACUCUAAACCCUAAAACAUCAACUCUAAACGUAAACCCUUAACCCUAAACCCAAUUUUUUUCUGAAAUUCGAACCCUAAACCCUAAAACCCUAAACCUUCAAAUCUAAACCCAAAAAUAUCAACUCAAAAACCUAAAUGUAAACCCUAAACCCAAAAACCCUAAACUUUCGAAUCUAACCCUAAAACAUCAACUCUAGGGUUUUAGGGUUUAGGGUUUAGGAUUUAGGGUUUAGAGUUUAGGGUGUAGAGUUAGAAGGUUUAGGGUUUAGAGUUGAUGUUUUAGGGUUAGAUUCGAAAGUUUAGGGUUUUUGGGUUUAGGGUUUACAUUUAGGUUUUUGAGUUGAUAUUUUUGGGUUUAGAUUUGAAGGUUUAGGGUUUUAGGGUUUAGGGUUUAGGAUUUAGGGUUUAGAGUUGAAGUUUUGGGUUUAGGGUUUAUAGUUGAUGUUUUAGGGUUUAGAGGUGAAGGUUUAGGAUUUCGGGUUUAGAUUUGAUGUUUCAGGGUUUAGGGUUUAGAGUUAAUGUUUCAGGGUUUAGGGUUUGUAUUUAAAAAAAAAAGAUUUUGGAUUGAUGGUUUAGGGUUUAGGGUUCGUAUUAAAAAAAGGUUUAGGAUUGAUGGUUUAGGGUUUGAAUUUCGAAAUAGUAUAAUUCGAAAAAAUUAAAUUUUUUUUUUUUUUUAGUUUUUUUUUAAUUUAAAUUUUUAUAUAUACAAAAAAAAGACAUAAGAGUCUUUUGCCACUUAAUGAAAAAUGUAUUUUUGAAAAAGUCUAUUUAGUGGUGGUAAAAAUGAAAAGUGGUAUCAUGUAAUUUCCCCUUAAAAUAAACCUUUUAAUAUUUAAUUAAUUUUGUAUUUAUUUUUAAAAAAUGCAUAUUUCAUUUUUCACUUAUUAUUUUUUUAAAAUAUUUAGUUAAUUUCGUGUUUGUUUAAAAAAAAAUUAUUUUUCAUUUUAACUAAAACAACUUUCUAAAUUGAAAUACAUUAUUGGUUAGGAUCAAAAUUUAAUUGAAAAGUAUUAUAUUAAAUUAAUAUCGCAAAUUAAAUCAUUUACAAUUUUGUAUUAAAUUUGCGAUAUUAAUUUAAUAUAAUACUUUUCAAUUAAAUUUUGAUCCUAACCAAUAAUGUAUUUCAAUUUAGAAUUUUGUAACACGUAAUUUAAAUAUGCUAACACUAAAAUAUUAUAUUAAACAAUUAGUAAUAUGGUAAAUAUUACCAUUAGUCAUGUAAAACAAAUAAUUAUGUGUGUGAAAAUAAAAUCACAUGCACGGUUGUGCUGAUCAAAAUCUAGUAAUUUAUUAUUUCUUGAGUCAAAAAAGAAACUCUGCCUAUAUUUAGCUAUGUGGAAUCAAGAAAAGCAAAAAAAAAAUUGAUUAAAAUAAAAAAUGUUAUUUUAUAUUUUUUGGUAAAUUGGUAAUUGAUGCAUUGACUCUAUAAUAUUACAUGUUCUGUGAACAUGACUAUAUUUUGGAAAAUUGCCAAAAAAUAUCAUUUUCGAAGUACCACUUUUUAUGUUUACAGUAAUCACUUUUACCCUCAUCUUUAAUGAAGGGUAAAAGACAUUUAUAAUCUUUUGAUUAACUCUCACAAAAAAAACAUAUGUUUAACUAAUCUAAACUUAAAACAUCAACUUUAAACCCUAAAUCAUCAACUCUAAACCCUAAACCAUGAAAAAUCAACUCUAAACCCUAAAUCCUAAACCACCUUCAAAUUUAAACUUAAAACAUCAACUAUAAACCCUAAACGUAAACCCUAAACCUUAAAUCUAAACUUAAAACUCUAAAUCAUCAACUCUAAACCCUAAACCAUGAAGAAUCAACUCUAAACCUUAAACCUCAAAACAUCAACUCUAAACCCUAAACUCCAAACCUUCAAAUCUAAACCCUAAAACAUCAACUCUAAACCCUAAAACAUCAAUUCUAAACCCUAAAACACUAAACCUUCAAAUCUAAACCCUAAAACA